UCAUAUUUACCUAACACUUCUGUUGUUAUCAUGUGAUAAUGCCCACAAUGCCCAUAUUGUCAGAAAUUAAAUGUAUCGAUCAAAUCUCGCUAUGCAACUGGCCUCUUUUCUUGUUUGGUUUGCAAGUAGUGUCACAGAUCACAGAUGCCAUACCCAUCAAGCCUUUCAGGUGGGAUAUUUACCUUCAAGGAUUUGUAUUCAUUGGCAUAAUAAUAUGCCUUCUUUAAGCUAAAAAUGAGAUUUGGAGUUGAAGCACAGAGGCCACAGGAAACUUGAAACAUUUGGGCCUCAACUUCUGGCCCUGUGCGAGUACACAUUUGGGUCUAUGUUAACAGCAAAGAAACAGGGCACAAAAGUAUAAGCCAUCCAAGACCGAAGAUUUUAAAUAUUGGAAUGAGAAAUUAACCAUGUUAUAGUUUGAGUGGAUUGUUUAUUGGCUUUAUCGCAGAAGGGGGAGCUGGUGACUUCUGUGCGGAGAAUUUUAAUAGUCGAGUCUUCUGGGGGAGAAAGCUAUAAAGUUCUGGACCUUUAGGUGUGAUAUCUCUCAUGCUUGCCAAUUUUCCCUUGUGUUAUCCUUCUUCCGGAUGGAUUUAUUUGUAAUUGAAUGCAUAGAUUGUCUUGGUUUCCUGGAUUCUACAAUGGGCAUUUUAUUAUCAGUAUAAAACUUUAGAUAGGACUGACUGUUAAUUACCUUGAUCUGACCCAUUACCUGCCUGUUUGACCCAAAUUUUUGCCUGGACUUGAAAAGAUUUGAGUUUUGUAUUGGGAUGGACUUGGUCAAACUUUUUGCCUGAGGAUGGCCACUGCAAUGCUCGGGCUGUGUUUGGAUCAGCCCAAAAGCCAGCCCAUCCUGAAAAUUAAGAUACUUCAAUUGUUUUACAUAGUUUGCUCAUUUGUCUGUGGGGGGCUUCGUCAUUAUGUAAUUUUUUUCCUUAGUCACAGAGCCUGAAUAUUCACAAAUUAGUUUAAAUAGUUUAUACAGGAGAAGUUUUAGUUAUUUUGGUGUCUCUUAGUUGUCUUAUGGUUUUCUUGGAUCAGCCUCUUUGAGAUGAUCACUGUUUUAAAUGGUAUAUUUCCAAUAGAAUGGAUGAGAUGAUAACUACAUUGAAUUGAUGGACCAUCAGCGAUUUUUAUUACAGAACAUGUACACUUUUUGAGUGGUUUUAACUGGUAUCUGUGGUUAGAGUGUUGGCAUGCUAAGAAUUGCUGGUAAACAUGGGGCCAAAUGGAAGGUAAGCUAUUACAUAAAAAUAAAAAUUAGGAACUUUCGGAUUCUGAGUUGAAAACUUUGAACUUCCAUGUAAAUACUAGAAUGAGCAAUGAGCUUGCCAGUGUGGAAAUUGUUUACAUGGUUGGUAGUGUGUGACAUCUCCUAACACCAUACAUCUAAUGGGCUUCUCUUAAUUGAGCAUGCGCAUUUUAAACCUAUGAGGGUCGAUUGGGCUCAGAGUGGAUAAGUGGUUCGUUACAUAGUAACUGGUCUCUAGUAAAAGCUAGGGUAGUUGAGUAGCUAAGCAAGUCGGUUUCCACUACACAAGAUGUCAAAACUACGGUAGAAAAGUGUGGUCUGUUUCUUAUAAUUCCCAUGUCCUACCUUUUAAUUUCACAUGAUAUAGUGCAUAUUUUGAAAUGAAGGGUGUCGGUAGUCUGUUUUUGAACCAGUUCGGUGCACAAAAUAGGAUUAUAGGAUUCAUCUGUUCAUUGUGGUCCCUCUUCUGCUCAUUUUAUUGUUGAGAAAAAAAAUCACAUACUACAAGAUAGGAAACCUCGGAAAGCAAAAUAUGGCAGUAACAUUAAAUGUUGUGAUGCAGGGGCUUGAAGAUGACAUCUAUCUAAUUGUUGAUAUUCCAAAUAUGUGGCUACUCCAUUCUUUUGACCAUGCAUUGUGUCUAGUGUCAUAUGGAUGAAUGAUAAGAAACUUGGAAGUGUUUGAGUGCUUUUCUUGCCUUUCGCAAGAGCCACAUAAUCAGGUAAUGUGUCAUAGAGUUCUAACUGCAGUUUUAACUCACAAAACUAUAUAUGUAUCUCUGGGAGACAAAUUUUAUCCAAAGAAAAGAAAACGGAAAAGCGAUUCAGAAAUCUCCAUGGUAGCUAGUCUUAACCUGAAAAUGCUUCACUAUGAAACAAUUGGGAGCAAUGAAAUUGAAGGAUUGUUUAUUAGUUACAUAGUGAAAUGAGUGUAUGUGUUUGGCGUGCAUGUUCCCUCCCAAACUUGCUAAUGCCUAUUUGUUAAUUGAGUUCCAGGCUUUUGUAAAACACUUGUUUGAAUGAAGCCAAAGACAAAAAAGAAAUUGUGAGCCCAAUGAUUCUAGCUUAACUUUUCAACUUCAUAAUCUUUGACUUGAAGCCUAAGAGAAGUAGAAUUCCAAUACCUUUCCCAAGUUAAUAAUGAUACUAUAUCAUGGAGAGCAUAUACAAUAUAGGUUAUAAAUCAUGUUUUUAAUGGAUUCUUCUUUGUCUUUACUGAAUUCCUUUUAACCAAGUGGAGGGGUGGUGGCUUCCACAGGGGAUUCAAAUAUGCAACACUUGGUUUAUAAUGUCAGGAGGUUCAUCUUUUAUGUGUACCCACAUGGGGUUAUGUAUACUGGUUUAUCAUUUGCAGGCACAAGGAGGAGGGUAGUCCAAAACUAAAAAGGUGGAAUCAUGAUGCAUGAGGAGGAAAAAAAAAAAAAAAAAGAGAAGAAAUUGACAGCCAAGCCUGAGAAAUCAUAGGUUAAAGAAAGGGAAAAAAGAGGGUAUGAUGUGAAUAUUCUUGUUUUAAAUAUGGAGGUGUAGUUGAGGGUGGUAGACAGGGUGAUGAGGGUGAGACAUAAAAUAUCAUCCAAAAGAGGGACAAGAUCAAUAAAGCGGGGAGCUCCAAUGGGCCCAAAACCCAGUCAGAAAGCUUCAUAUUUGUCUGCAUCACAAUCUUUUUUCUUUCUUUUUUUUUGAAAAAAAGAAAAGGAAAUUAUCUUUUUCAUAACUUGUUUGUGUAUGAAUAGUGAUACUGCAACUGCCUAGGCAUUGACUCAGUGGGCCUUUUUUUGGGGGUGAGCUUUGUUACAUAGUCAGCACAGGUGGGGCCCACUUUGACCACGUUUGUUUUGACUUAUAAGCUCAGGAAACCCACACACAUUCUGAAACUUCAUAUUCAAGGUGUACCAUUGAAAAUGGAAAUCCAAAUCUGAUUCUACUUUAUUUGGGGUUUGGGUUUUUUGUACCACGACUUGAACUAACAGGAUAAAAAAUCUGGGGGUUUCAAUUUGAAUUUACAUUGAACAAUUUUUUUUUUUAAUAAAUAAGAGUACUGGAUCUGGGUUGAAUUCAAAAGCUGAUAUUGAUGAUUACUAUGAUUAUAAAGUUCCACAUUUUAGUCAGGGGUUGUUUUAACUUUCAAGUAAUUUGAAGCCCACUCAGAUAAAGAAAGUGGCAGAUUUUUCAAUUUUCUCCUUUCAGUGUGAAAAGAAUGAAACCAAACAUGUUUUUAGGUUUGUAUGUAUUUAUCAAUGCUGCACUCCGAUCCACACACAAAGAUAUUGUGUGACUUUCGGUUGAAAGGCAUGGCAGCAUCCUUCAGGUGGAGUCAUUUUCAGGGUGUUGGGUUGAUUUGAGGCGGCAGCUCUUGGAGCCACAAGGGAGUUGAGGGCACCGCUACUUAAGAAUUAAAUCACUUCUUUAAGGGCCUUGUAGGGUCCAGCUGAUGUUUGAUUUUUCAAAUGAAUCUCAAGGUCAAGGGCCCUCUUGGCACAUGCCAAUAUUCCUCUGUUUGCCCUUGUCUCUCCAUUCUGGUCAAGAUUCUCUUAAUUUCAACAUUGGCUAUCCCACAUGAGAAUGCGUUUUUUCAGGUUAACAACUUGUCAAUCUACUUUCAAAACUCCCAACUUUAUUUCUUCUUUUACAUGUAUAAACACAUUGGAGUGUGUGCUAAUUUGGACCCAAGAUUAGGUUUGACAUUUGGGAGUUAAGGGACAGUGUUUGGAUGAUAAAGUACAUUAGAAAAAUCAUCUAUGGGCAACAUGUUACUCUUAUCCUGAAUAAGCUUUUGAGGGUGUUCUAACUUCUAAGCCAUUACUAUUAGUCCAUUAGAUAAGGCAAUUGAGUAUUGAAUUGUAAGGACACCCUAAAGGCAUCGGAAUAAUGUUUUUGACCAACCCAACAAACCGUAUAAAGAUUUCUUUAUAUAUAUUGAAAAAUUAAUAUUUAAAGGUUUCUUCAAGGGUGUUGGACACUAUCCAAAUGGGGUUUGAAUCAAAUUUCUUAAUGGUAAGGAGUCCUGGGAUGAUGAUCAUGCGUUAAUGUUGCGGAAAGGAGGUGAAGAAAAUAAUAGCUGAUGGGUUGGGAGCACGGUCAUGGCCGUCAUUUUGGAAUAUGGGAAUGGUGCUGAUGAUUAGAGGGUGCAUUGAGAGACAAGUCAUCCCUACAUCUUUUGAAUUCUAUCUUGAAGAGCAAACAAACUCAAUGCCGUCAAUUAAAGCUUUCGCCCUUGAACCAUGCAACCGAGAUUUCUUCAUGCCACCAUGUGAGGAAUGCCUCCAAAGUUCUCCAAAAGAAAAAUCAUAAUGUAUCCAUUUCAGAUACCAAUGCCAUCCUUCCAUCUUUACUUCAGAUGAUAAUCAUUUGGUCCUAAGCACCCACAUGGACCCCAAUUCUAAGACAUCAUCAAAUUCAAUUGUUUUUAUGUUAUGGCGCAAUUGUUGUAAUCGUGCAAUAAACAUUAAUUAUUUAGUGACCUCCUACUUAAAAGAUAUGAGAGUACUAUCUUUUGGAUGCUAAAAUGGAAUUCGGUAUUAAUUCAAUCACAAAUGAAUAAAAAUAAAGAAAAAUAGGAGAUUUUAACGUAGUUCUACAUCAAUAUAAUCUGAUCUCUACGUUAUUAAUCAAACUAAAAUGAAAAGAUACAACGGUGAGCAUCAUCUUUUUCCUAACUAUGAUUACAUAUAGCUUUUUUCCCUCUACAAAACCCUAAAUUAUAUGUAUAUAUAUAUAUUGAAUAUAAUAGGAAUUCGACAGAUAGUACGAUUGAUAAAUUAUACUUCAUGUCCUUGUGAAGCAAGAUUAGGCUUUUAGGGAACCGAAAUUAACGACUGCACUUUUCCCUGUCCCAAAACAAAACCACCGUCUUCACUUUGUCUACUCCCCCGGAAUGAUCGCGCGGUGCAGCUCCAUCACUUUCGCUUUUCACUAUCCACCAUUGUUAAUUUCAUUCUAUCAUGCUUCCACCAUAUCAACCUCACUAUCAUCAUGUAACAAAGGAAAAUGCUCUAUCCAGUAUCCAAUGACUUUGUCUAUGUAAAAUAUUUUAAUCUUUGCUAUAACAUAGAUAGAAGAAAAGAGGUGUAUCAUGCAUGAGCGGGUGGGCUAGGCAAUAGGGCAUGAGCUUAAAAAAGUUGGUGAAACAGUGGAACGUGGUUAGUGAUAAGGUCUAUGUAGGCUAAUGAUUUCCAAUUGAGGAUUGGGUGGGUUGGGCGGACCUGCACCACCCAUGCGCCCAUGCCCAUCCCCUCACUGCCAAUGCCAUCAAUACACUGUAUAUUGUUUGCACCUACUUUACUUUCCAACCACCUUCUUCCUCGCACCAUACUAUCUACAUGUCUUCCUGUGUGUGCACCACCUCCCCCACCCCCCUCUUUCCACUGCCUUUAUUUUUCCAGUCCAAGUUCAUAGUCCACUGUUGCACUCCUUUUCAGUGCAAGUCCCUAACCAUUUUCCCUUUUACUUCUGUUCAUUUUAUUAAAUGGGAUAUGGGUAUACAAGACAAAACCUUUUCAAACCGACCAAUGGUCCAAUCCCAUGAAAUUAGGCUUUUGUUUGCAAAAUUAGGAUGACCCCCUUCACUUGACCUCUCUGCCCAUGCACCAUGCUUGCUGUAGCAGGUAGCAACCCAUGAUAUGAAACACAGCAACACGUUCACAACAUCACCACAUGCACAUCGUUCUUUCUUAUCUCCCAAUAAAGAAUCAAAUAAAUUUAUCAAAAGUUAGUCCAAAACAGCUUUUUAAAUACUUGUUUCUACUUUCAUUUUUUUCUGUUUGAAAAUGAUUUUAUUUUUUAUAUGAUUCCCUUUGUCAAAAAGAAAGGAAACUUUCAUUCAAUUCAAUGACAUAAAGAUACACUGCACAUAUUUUCUUUCCAUGUACGCUACAUAAAUGUGUAAAAUCAUGGUUGGUGAGAAAAAGGCAUUUUGAAGAGAAGAAACCUUGAGAGAACAUGUUUGUAGUGUUAAGAGGCGUGUCGCAUGGAGAAGGCAACAAAUUGGCUUAAAAGUCAAACCAAAAGGGUUUUUGUCAUCUUCUAACGUGGCAAAAGCAUCCAUUGCUCACACAAUAAUCCAAGCACUCCUUGCCAAACAACUUUGGAGAUCCUUGUCCAUCUCCAACUGCACAUUCAUAUCGUUGCAUCAUGGAAUUGGAUCCGUGACUCAUCCAUAUUUUUCCGCACUCCUUCUCCACGACCUCUUCCUCUUCCUAAUCACUUCGAACAUGUAUGAAUUUUAUAACACUUCACUUCUCUUCCCAACCAUUGGCUCAAACAUCCACACUAGAACUGAUGGUAAAGCCCAAAAUUGAUCAUGAACUGUUCCAUUCAGUGUUUUAAUGGGUUUUGGUUUAUCUGGUGUGCCGACAAGUGCUUUUUCGUUGCUUAAUUUAAAAUCUAGUAUGCCCUUUUUGACUCACUUUCCAUUUGAUAACAGACAUUUUGUUUUUCCAAAUUUUUGUUCUGGCUACUAUGCUUUGUUUGACAAUGAAGGCAAUGAUGUAGGCCUACAAGGCUGAGGUGCCAAAGCCUAUACACAAUGCAAGUGGCUUUAAUUUCUGUCACUUAGAGUUGGUUACGUGAAAUUCAUGCUGAUAAGCCGUGAUUAUGUGUAGGCUUUAUGGGGCUCGAAAAUGAGAUUAAACAUUGGCUGCUUCAGCUCGAUAGGUCAAAAAGAUAAAUGGGUUGUGGCAAAGAUAAAAAGGGAGAAAGCCUAGAUUGAGUUGUACCUAUUAGGUGGGGGUGUGUGGGGGACAAAGGCGACCACCAUUAUAUCCCAAAUCUACUCUGAAAAGCAUACAAAAAUAAGCAUGGGGAUAGCAGGAGGUAAGGGAUCAUUCCCUUCUGAAUAAGAUUUCCAUAGUGGAUAUACAAAUCGAGUCUUAUGCAGUCCCUGCAAAAGUUCCAUUCGAUAUGACCCAACUCCCAACUUUCCGUAAAGUUUGGCCCCUUCUCCCCCUCCCUCUCCCUUGAUUAUUCCCAAAAUAAAAAUUUCAAGCAGCACAUUUUGAAAAGACCCUCGCCAACUAAACACACGGGAAGUUAGGAGUUUGAAUGGUAGUUAGGAGAAGAAGAAUUAGAGUAAAUAUUGGUUGGUUUAAGUUAAGUUAGUUAUAACAAGUCCAAGUGACCGUUGCAGGGUAUAAUGGUGGGGAGACAAGGGGGUCCUCUCUGUGUUGUGGCUUUGAGAGACCAUAGAUAAAAAGGGGUUACCAAAAAUUUUCAAAUGGAAACAGGAUUGGGACUGGGUGUGGUGUGAAUUGUUGGGGGCAGCAAAAAAUGGGUGCAACUUGAAUUAUGAUUGGUGGGAAUAUGAAUAAUGAUGAGGGAAGAGGAAAUGGUGUAUAUCCAAAUCCACUGGGAAGGGGACACGCGUCAGGAGAGGGAGCGUUGGGUGAUUUGAUUAGAGGCCAAAAGGUAGAGGACAAGAGGAUGAAGGUGAAGGCCAGGUAUUACCACAAACUUUGGGUGCAUCUGAUGGGCUGAUGCUGCACUAGGACUUGGGGUUGUGGGUAGUUUUAAUCAUAGUCUGCUGUCUCUUGUGUUGUCCAUCACAAUUAUUUCUUCCAGCUCCCUAAUAAAAGCUGCCACUUCUCCAAAAUUCAUCACUUCUUUUUUGGCUUUGCAGACUUGAGUUUUUUCUUAUCCUUUUUUUCUCUCUCUUUUUUCUUUUCUGUGGAUAUAUCUUUUGAAAUUAUGACAUCAACCAGAAAUCAUAUUUUUUUCACUUUCCAUUAGUUUGGUUACUUGAUUCCUCUGAAAAUGUUUAUUUAUUUAUCUAUGCACUUUUUUUUUUUUUCUUUUUCAUAUUUCGAAAACCCCAUCUUUGCUAUUUCAUUUAAAAAAGAAAAUGAAAAAAAGAUUUGCUUUCUAACCAUCUCAGUUCCACUCAAUUCCACCCCCAUUAACUCUUUUUCCAAGCAAUAAGUGGCUAGAAUCAUUGACCAGAUCGUAAAAGGAAAUGGGCAUAUCAUCUGAAAAGACUAACAAAAUGUGCAGGAGUUGGCUAUGGUGCCUCCAGCCCUGAUCAAGUUGAUCAAACCCUAAAACCCCUGAAUUCUCUUUUAUUUAACAGUUUAGAAGAACAGAGUAGAUCAGAUGGUCAUGACUCAUGAUGGUCCAAUCAUGUUCUAUCUUUACAUAAAACCAAAAUUUCAUCAGUGGGUCCUACUAAAUCUUUAGGAAGCAUGCUAUUUUUUUUUUUUAAUAAGAAAAUUACAGCUCCAACAUCUUUGAGACAGUUCAAUUAUCAUUAAUUAUCAGUACAAGGGACAUUUACAUAAAAAGACUAGCCUAAGGAGAAGUUGAAAGGAUGGUAUCAGAAGUGAAGCAAUGUACAGAGUAGGCAGCAUUAUUGCUAGGGACAUGUGAGUCCUUCCAUGGCAGCCAGAAGAACAGCUCUGGGGCUCUGGCAGUAACACCAUAGAUAAUAAAAUGAAAUUUGACCAUGUUUAUUUGUAGCACAGGCCACAGAGGGAUGAAGGAAGUUAUGGGACUUGAAAUGGAGGAUGCAUUGGGAAAUGAAGGUAAUAAAGGGAUGGGUCGGGUGUUGGUAGGACUAAAAGAUGGUGACAGAUCCAACCCUAAGGGGUCUUAGCUCAACAGCUUCCACAGACACAUGCAUGAAGCUCUCAGAAUACUCCAAUUAUUAUUUCUUUUAGCUGCUCUCUGCACAUUCACAUUUUGCUAUACCGGUAGGCCACGUGUGUUGGUACCAUUUCAUUUUUGGGCGUUUGUAUGAUGCUCAGUUAUUCUAUUUUUAUCAUUUUUACUGCCCGCCAGACUGAAACUGAAGCCCCCUUUGCCAGGGUGGCAGAAUGCAGAUACAGCCCACCCCCCGCCAAUGCCAAAGACAGGGCUUCCUCCCCUGUUUUCUUCCUCUUCCUCUUCCUCUUCUUUCUUUUUUCUUCUUAUAUUUAUCUCCAUCCUCCAUUACCAGUUGGGCCCACUUUCAAUAUUUGAAACACCACGAAAAUGGAAAAAUUCUAACCAAAUUAAAAGGAGGAAAAAAAUUGUUAAUUCGAUAUUUCAUUUUUAGUGUUUUUCUUUAUAAUCUCUUUUCCAAGAAUCAAACGUAGCCUUCAUUUUGGGUUAUCUCCCACGCCCCCUCUGUCCUGUUUUGUUGUAUUGUUUCUGUUUGGAGAACUGAGAAAUCUGACAAAACUGAGUGUAGAGUUUAGGGCAUUGUCCCUUUCUUUACACUAGGGAGAAUCUAUUUAAGGAUGAAGCCAUGGCAGGCAUAAAACCGGUAUACUUUGUGUACCCAUACCUUUGUUCACAUAUAUUGAACUAUUUAUAGUGUCCCAGCUAGCAUCUCAAUCAACAUCCCAUUAUCACCUACUAAUGCAGCUAUCAGCAUCUCAAUUAACUAUUCCCAUCUAUUCAUUCCUUUCACAAUGGCCCCCAAAGAAUUAACUAACUGACAUAUUAUAAAAUGGAGGAUAUUUUUGUUAGGUGAGUGACUGGCUGAGCAAUGAAUUCAUCCUUCAGGAAAAUAUCAUAUCCAAACAAGUAUUCAUUGAAUAUUUGAGAGUUGAAUCCCUGUCAACCCAUUAAAAACAAAACCAGAAUAACUGCCAUCCUCAACUGGGACUGAAUUCGAAAACCCUUUCCAUUUUUGCAAUAAUACUGUUACUCAAGUAUUACCCAACAUGGAGAUUAUGCAUGUUGAGCAAGGAACCCCUACUUUGCUACGAAAUUUUAUCAUUGGUGAUGAUUUUUCCACCAACCACAAUCAUGUUAUGGGCAUCAAAAAGUGAUAAGAGAGACUAAAAGAAAAAAGGCAAUAAACCAAGAAAGUCUAUACUUCUUCUAGGUUGCAAACAACAACGGUUGAAAAAGUAGUAAGUUGGUAUCCGAUGUUUUCCACAAAAGGGAUUAUGAACUCAAAUCGCAAGUAAUUAAUGGAUAAACAAAACACCAUGGGGCACUCAGAAACACUUUGAUAUACACGUGCAGUACGCGCAAACACACAAAAACAUGCGAUAAACGCGCAUGCAAGCAUGCACAAGGAAGACACAUAAUUUAUAAGUAUAACAACUCUAUCCCCCAAUUAAGAAAUGAAUAAUGGUUUGUUUAUAACCUCAAUACUUAGUGAGUGGGCAGGAAGUAGACUUGAGGACAGAGCAGAGGAGAAGGGGAGGGAGCCAUAAAGGGCCAAAGUUUGGGGAUUGGGGUAUAUUUAAGGAAUAUAAUAAGGAUUAGUUUAAGAGCAUGGGGGGAGUUCCUGCAAUAUUGGCAUUGGAAAGAAGAAUAAAAAAAACUAGAGCAAAUAUAAAGAAAGAGAAAGACCCAUCAAAAUAUUAAGAAAUAGGGAAAUGGGGUGACUAGAAAAGUGAGAAAAAACAAUGUGGGUGUUUGGAGAAGAAAAUGUGAUAGGAGGAGAAGGGGCAAAGCAAUUAGUAGGGAUGGAUGGGAGUGGGGACAGCAUGCUUGUGUGAGGUAAGGAAGUGGGAUAUAGGGAAGGGCGUGAAAUAAAAAUACAAUGUUUCCUAUGCUUACAACAACUGUGUCGAGUGAGGGAGGGUGGAUGAGGGUACAAGCUCAUACCCCAUUACCCACAUAUGUUUAUUCAAUCAUCAAUCCUCCCAUUUCUCCAUUUUUACCCAUCAUCCUCACUCUGUAUCUUCUCAAAAUGCCUAUCUCAGAAUCCCCACCUAGGAAAGGAAAUUACAAAUCAUCAUUCAUGAAGAAAUGCCAUGACCCUUCAAGUUUUUUAACUUGGACGUUUCAAGGUCAUGUUUGGUUCAUAAAGCUAAAAGUCAAAAAAGAAAAGAAAAUGUAAAUAAAAAUUUAUGUAUUUUUAAAUUAUUUAAUCUUUUUAUAAAAAUAUUAAAAUAAGUUAAAUGAAUUUAAAACCGGAUAUAUAAAUAAUUUAUGAAUUUUAAAUUUAUUUUCUUAUUUUUCUAUUUAUCUUUUUCUUGCAUUUUUCCUUAAAUUUUUUCUUGAGAACCAAACUUAGUUAGAGAAUAAGAAUAUGAAUUUGAUGCUUGUGUUUUUUUUAAUAUAGAAAUUUUGUGAAAAUACAUUUGAUUUUGAGCAGAAAAAAAAUUCAAUAAUCUUUUGAUUUUUCUUUUUCAUUUGAAAAUGAAAAAAAAAAAACUUUCAAACGAUGUCGAUAUUAGGCCUACUAAAGGGUCUGUAUUUAUCAUGAAAUUUUCAUUUAUAUUUGGUUUUAGAUCUUAAAAUCUUAAAUUCUCUUUAGAAAUCCUAUAAGAGAAAAAUAAAAUUUAAUAAUAAUGAAAAAAAAUAUUUAUUAAAUAAAUUUUCUUUGAGAAGGUAAAGGAAAUAUGGAAUAAAUGUAAAAGAAUAAAUGUAAUUGUACCAAAAAAAAAAAGUGGCCACGCGCGCCAAUAUGCGUAGUGUUUGUAAAUGGAAGUUGGUAGAAGCGUGGGAAGAGUAAUCACGUGCCACUGAAAGCUUAUAUAUACGCAUGGAGAUGAGAAGUCAGGCAAGAGCGGUGAAGAGGAAGGAGGGACUGCUUUACUUGUUUUGUUUUUGUGACACUUGUUUUCAAGGCUCUACCCCAUAGAGGCUCGAGAGGUAGAUACGUCUAUUUCUGAGGCAUUCGUAAUUUCCAAGCAACCCACUGGGAGAAAAGGUUUUAGUCAAUACAGCGUGAGAUGGAGAUUGAAGCUGAAGUGGAGCAGUCUAAAUUCAAGAGGAUUUGCGUGUUCUGCGGGAGUAGCCAGGGGAAAAAGACUAGCUAUCAGGAUGCUGCUAUUCAGCUUGGCAAAGAAUUGGUAUUCAAUCAAUUUGUGUUUGUUUGUUUUUUCUGUGUUUUCUCUCGAUGAAUGAAUGUUUUUUUGGCUUUCUUUAAUGGGUUUUGCCUGAAAUCAAUUGAAGUUGCUUGCUUUUGAAAUGAGAUUUUAUUGUGUGCUGGGUUUGUCUCUGUUUUGGUUUAUGCAAGUGAACUGUUCUGAGCCUUGCAUGUUAAUAAUGUCUUUGGCUCUGUUUCUUGAGCAGCUCUCCUUCUCUCUCUGUCGUCUCUCUCCUCUCUCUAAAUGUCUUUAUCAGGGGGAACCCAGUUAGAAUCAAACUACUUGCCCAUUUUGGAGAUGCAAACUAUGUGCUAUGUUUUUCAGAUAGUUAUGUGGAAUAUGUCCUUUCUGUUUUUCAUUUUUGGGUUAAUUUUAUUAUUCCCAAUUUCACCUCUUCUUCUCUUCCGAUACUAGCCUGUACGCCUUUUUCUCGCCCUCUCUAAACAUUAGAAGACAUGGAUUACAUGAAGUUAUCAAGUAGUAUUAAUAUUGAAGGAAGAUUGAAGAAAUCAAUCUUUAAAUGUAGUCUGAGGAGCCGCAAUCUCAAAUGGGUUCACCUCAGUUGUUUCCAUUAAUCUUGAAGAUAGAAGUUUAUUUACUCUCUCUGAGCUGCUUUGGCUGUGGUCUCUUGAAGGUCUCAAGGAACAUUGAUUUGGUCUACGGAGGGGGUAGCAUAGGCCUGAUGGGUUUGGUUUCUCAAGCUGUUCACAAUGGUGGCCGUCAUGUUAUUGGGUGAGUCCCUGCCCUUUCUUUUUCUUCUUCUACUUCCAAUCUGUCUUCAAGUUCUCCAAUAAAAGAUCAAACAAAAAGAUGAAGAAACAACAAGAAAUCAGCGAAUUGGGUCUGCUUUUCAUUGUUGUUUUGUGGUUUUGUUCUCCAUAACAGCUGAUUUUUGUCAUGUUGUUGUCCCUCCUUCUCUGCAGAGUUAUUCCCAAGACGCUCAUGCCUCGAGAGGUAUGUCUGCUAACUCUACCCAAAAAAGUUUCAUGCCUUUUCUCAUGAAUAAAAAAAUUACAGAUUCUUUUUUUUUUUUCCUUCCUUUCUUCCAUGGACCGGCUUUACAUUUUGCUCCAUUUUCUUAUCCACCUCCCUUUCUUUCUUUUCAAAUCUUUAUAUCACUUUCCAGGCCUCUAGCUACCUUUUUUUUUUUUUUAAUAUAUGUUUUUUUCUUUUAUACUGUUUUGUUUUCUUGUUUGUUUUGUUCUUCAAAUCUCUGUUUUUCUGGUGGAAAGUUGAUAGCCUUAUCCAUAAUUGUACACGGGGUAGCUGGCAUUUUACCUUUAUGUAUGCUUAUAUAUUUUUCUGAUUUUGUACUGUUUUCUUCUACUAUUUCAUCCUUAUUUGAUCAGAUGAGCUAUGAUCAGCAUUUGUUUUCUUUUGUCGUUUUUUUUCCUUGGCUUUUUCUAAAGUUAGAUUAUUUUAUAUAUAUAUAUAUAUAUAUAUAUCUAUAUUUUUUAAAUCUAUCCACUUGGUACCGUAUGAAUUACUAGAUGGAGUUGAAGAUCUUGGUUUAAGUCCACCAUUCCUGCAACUCUCAUCAUUGCUUCACUGCACAAUACUCCAACUCUAUAUUUCUCUCUACAAGUUUCCAAAUUUUCUUUUCAAAAAAUAAAGAAGUAAAUAUAAAAUCUGUGGUUUGGUGCCCUUUUUCAGCUAACUGGUGUAACAGUGGGGGAAGUGAAGGCAGUUGCAGAUAUGCAUCAAAGGAAAGCAGAGAUGGCUAAGCAUUCAGAUGCCUUUAUUGCCUUACCAGGUUGGUAUAAACUACAAAAACAAAAACAAAAACAAAAACAAAAAUUCUCACUUACACUAAAAUCUCCAAAGCAAAUCAUGAAAACAUGAAGACCAUCAGGUGCUUUUAUUUUUCUAAUUUUGGCAUCCAAGAUUCACCAUAUCUCGUCUUGAUUCUUUCUCACAGUUGCUAAAUCAUCCCUCAAUAGUAAAGAAAUCCUUGGUCUGAUCCCUCAGUUUCUAUUCAGUAAAGGGCCCAUCUCCUGAUUCCUAUCAGAUUGGUUAAUUACUCAGGAUUUUCUCCCUUUGCAAGUUGGAGCUUCUUCUUUGAGCUUUUGCAUGGGCAAAAAAAGUUGAUCACAGAAAAAGCAUCUUUUAAUCCUCCUUAAAGAUGCUAAUCAAGUUGGGAUUAUCCUGAUACAUUUAUACAAGAGAUUGUUAGAAGUGGAAAAAGGAAUUUAUCAUGAAAAGUUGUGAAAAUACUGCACUUUAUACUGUUCUGCCUGUUCUAUUUUGAUGCUAUAUAUGGUCCUGGUAGUCCUGUGAAAGCAACUGUGUGAUCAAGCCUAAAUUAUCAUAACUCUCUCAACUUUCUAACACAAAACCCAAGAUCCAUGAUUAGAGAGCAACUCUCCCAACCCUACUUCUUUGACCCAUCAACAUCUUACACUGAAAAUUAGACCCUCUGAAGAACCCAGCUUCUGUUAACCAUGCCCUUUUUUUCCCUCUCUGUUAUAGUUCUCUAGCCAGUGACCCCAUCCUGUGUCAACGUUUGUUUACCAUAUUAAGGGAAAGCUUUCCACAUACACCCUUUUACCAAAUAAUUUUUGCCAUCUAGGAACUGCCCCUAACCCAAUCAUAUUCACUCAUUUUAAAUGCUUCUCUUAUCCUCAUGAGCUUAUAAAAUCCCUUUUUUAUUAGGAUAAUCAAGGGCAAGAUAGUCAUUCCAUCUUCCUGGGGGACACCACCACACCCCCUUGGAAAAAAAAAAGAAAAGGACCUCUGUUGCAUGAUAGUAUGAGAGACAUUAUGACCUGAAUGGGGUUGGCAGGGGAUUGUGCCUCUGUUUUCAGAGAGGAGAUGGGGGUAAUAAAUAUUCUUUGCUUUGGAGUGGGAAAACUGAGAGAGGCCAACAUGGGCAUUGAGACCGUCAUGGUGCCAAUACAUGAAACCUUGUCCAGCAAAUGGAAGUUUGUGGACUAUAAUAAUCCCGAGUCAGGGUACAAUAUGCUGCUUACCAGUUACCAUCAUAUGGGCAGUCAGUCCUCCAUGGGCAUCAAAUGAAUGGUAGUGGGACUGUAAUAAACCUCCCUUGUCAAAGUACAUUGCACUAAACAUCAAAUGUCCAGAGUGAACAGGCAGUUAAGUCUGUCCUUGAUGGAGCAAGCCAUGAAGACCAUGCCCAUCAAAUGAAAAAGGUUGUGGACUGUGAUAAUAACCCUUUAGUCAAAGUACAUUGCACUAACCAUCAAAUGAAAGAGUGAACAGACAGUUGAAUCAGUCCUUUUUACCCUUUACUAGUUAGAAGUGAUCGAUCAAAUACUUUAUGCCUCACCACUAGUUGUGUUAGCCUAUUAGUCUGUGCUUAACUGCCUUUGCGUCUUGGAUGUUUUUCUGCAUCUCUCUCUCUCUCUCUCUCUCGCGUAUCAUACCCACUUUCUAUACAGUUGUUGCAGUCACCAACUACAUUAUGAUGUGUUGUUGUACUUGGGAACCUUUGGUUAUUUCAAACAGAAAAACAUGGGUAAUCUUGCCAAAAGCAAUUCGUGAUAUGGCCUGAUCUCUUAUGCACUACAUGCAGGAGGUUAUGGUACCCUUGAGGAGCUACUUGAAGUGAUAGCCUGGGCUCAACUUGGGAUUCAUGAUAAGCCAGUAAUUCUUCUUAGCCUAUGUGUCUUUGAGAUUCUGUUAAUGCCUUGUGCAGUGUUUGUUGUAGAGAUGAAAUUUAUAUACCUUUUGCAGGUGGGAUUGCUGAAUGUGGAUGGAUACUACAACUCCUUACUGUCAUUUAUUGACAAAGCCGUGGAAGAAGGUUUCAUUAGUCCCAGUGCCCGCCACAUUAUUGUAUCUGCCCCAACAGCAGAGGAGUUGGUGAAGAAAUUGGAGGUAUUUUCACCAAAAAAAAAAAUUCCUCACUCCAUUGCUUCUUCUUUCUGAAUUGUUAUAUAUUUUUCAAUUCACUUAGUAAUUCGGAAUCCUGAAAUGUGCUCAUAAUCCGUUCCAUCUCUUGACUCUGCUCACCGCUCUGUUCUGCAGUUUCUUUAAGUUUUUUUACUGUACAAUUUCUUAUAUUGCUUUCUUAUUGUAGGAGUACGUCCCAAGCCAUCAGGGGGUUGCUUCAAAGUUGAGCUGGGAGAUGGAGCAGCUUGAUUAUCCUGAAGAAUAUGAUAUCUCUAGUUGAAAUGAGCAUAUUACUACAUAGCAGAUGGAAGUAGAUGGGAAUCUGGAACUGAAAAGGCUAAUUUGGAAAGAAAACAAAGUCGAAAUUUCUGUUGUGGGGAAUUCAUUUUGUAAAUUACUAUAAUUGACAUGAAUAUGUGAAGCUUCGCUAUUCCCUCCUAUUGGAAAUUUAGUCUUCUGUUAAGUUGUUAGUACUAGAUUACUAUGAACAAUUAUUCCCCUUUAAAUGUUAAUUUAUUAUGUGUUUACUAAUUUCUUCGCACUAUUCUUUUUCCUUUUGUUUUUGUGUGGGUGUGAGGGCUUAAAGAUGGGCUUCCUAAACAAUUUUCUAAAUGACAACAAAAUUCACUACCUGAAGGGGAGGCUAAAGAGAUCUGCCUGAUCAAAAUUACAAAUUACACUGAAAGAUUGUUAAUGUCCUCGUGUAAGAUGAUUGGGUUCCCUAGAAAACAAUUCCCACAACUGUUAUAUAGGUCCCUCACAAUUCAUUGAUACCAGAGAGAUGAAACAAUCAAAGACCAAAAGACCCCAGGAAAGCUGAAAGAAAAUAUCCCGAGACUUGUCCCUGAAAAAAGAUAUUCCAAAGCCCAUUCACCCAAGGCCUGAUAUGGAACAUGAUUAUGCCGUAUUCAGAAUCUCAGAUCCCCAAACUAGGGAAUGCUGCCUUAAUAAAUGGGUGCAGCCAGGAAGACAUAAAUAAGGCAGGACUAUACAAGAAGUCCUAGAGGGUAUGAUGCAAGGGGACAUCUAGCAGAAGACCCUAAAAUGAACCCAACGCUAGCCAUAAUUCUUCGUGAUAGACAUGAAAUUGUAUGGUGGAGGUACCUUAUCAUCGAGUUGUUUCACAUCAAACUCUCUUAAAUAUCUUACAUAUAUUGAGGCUUUCUGUAGGCAAAUUUUAUUAACUGAUCCUGAUAAGCCAAUUCCAUGCUUCUCCUUUCCUUGCCAUAACGGUUAUCUUAUGGAUGAAACCGAAAUUAAUGCACAAAAGUCAGGAUCUGGUCAACUAAAAGACUGUUAAGAGUAAAUGGUUGAGAUGUUUAUGGAUCAUGCAGGCGAGAACAGAAGCAACAGUCCACUAAGAGAGGCGAAAUAGUCUAAAAUCAAAAGAAGAAAGGGGGGCCAAUUUUGUAAGACAUGUUUUCAAUCUGUUUUCAAGUACCUACUUCAGUUAAGGUGCGAGCUUGAGACAACAGACAAGACUAGUCCAACGGAAGACUAGUCCAGCCGAUAACAGAAGGGGACCCAGUGGGGUUGAAGGCGAGGGGAGGAGAGGAGAGGGGGCCUCGUCCUGUUCACCUAAAGACCAAGUAGUGGCCCCCCUCUUGUCUGCAAAUGGGACACUGACAUGUGUUCCAGAGGGCCACAUGUAAUGGUAUAGAGGGAAAGGAAAGACCAUGUGCCACUGACGUUUCAGGAGAAUAUCAAAGCCAAAUUUGGCCCCAGUUUCUCUUUGUGGCUUCUUGUGGUUGAUACCACUGCUUUGCACUAUUGAUUUAACCCAAAAGCAUUUGGUUGGUAAGGAGUCGAUUUUGAUGGUUGAUUGCUAAGAGACCUGUACUUUGAAAUGAGGCCGAAACAUGGAAGAGGAAUGAUAAAUGGAAGGCCCUCAACUUUUUUGUGUCUGCUAAAAAAAGGGUAAAUUUGCUCUACAAUAUUUCAUUAAUAACAAAAUGGACUUGUUGAUGGAUGCAUAGUUGCUUGAUGUUUUAUGGCUAAAGCAGAGAAAGAAGAUACGAAUUUUGAAACGAUCACGUAGCCCUGCAGUUGCUGACGUUGAGAGGGAAAAGCACAUUCAUCAAUCCAAUGUAAGACAGCUGCAGAAUUUUGCAUGGUCAUGUUAGGCUAGUUACCACAACUUUGCCUUUUUUCUGUGCCUUUGUCGCUAAAAAUGACAGGCAUUAAGAUAGGAUGGCUAGUGAACAGGUAGGCAAAGCAGCCAAAAAAACUUUUAUGGAUAAGGAAGAUAUCAUAGUCCGGAGAUGAUAUCAUCCACGAUACCUUUGUAUGAUUGAACAGACUACCCCUGAAGACGUAACAUGUGAAUCUUUAUGUUAAUGUGCUCAACUCAUAAAAGUUUUCUGAGUCUUCUUUCGCCCACAUAUGGUCUUCUGGUUUGAUAGCAUUCUUGUCAUACCCCAUUAUGCCAAUAGCACCAGCCACCCAUGUCGCUUUCCUCACUCUCAACCCAUAUUAUUUUUUCCAUUUCAACUGCUGUUAUUUCACCCAUUUGGCUGGGCUAUGGGCUUAGGCCCUGUAUUUUGAUAGUUCAGUUUGCCAAUUGGGCUUCCCAAAACGUGGCUAGAUUGGUAUUUAAGACCAGACCAUUGAUUCACAGUCCGGAACCUGCAGUUAACCAUAAAAGAGGAGAAAAAAAACACUGGUGCCUAACUCCAUUGGUUUCUAAAGCAACCAGAAUCCGUCCGUAGUGUUUGGAGGAGGUGGUGUGGACGGACUCAUCCCUAGACAAAGGUUCAGUCUCAUUCUUAUUUCCUUGGACUUGUUAUCCACUCUACUGGGUGGUUGGGACUAUCAUUGUUAUCGUUAGCCUCGACAGACAUGUGACACCAGGGUCUCAUGAGGCAACACUUUAGCUCUAUGAGUGACCUGUGACAUGACAAGGUGGCACAAGGGUGUAAUGCUUUGCACAAAGAGACGGCUUGGUAAGCCAUGCCAUGGCAUGUUGCACACCAAAAGUGACUUAGACGAGGCAUAUCAAUGCAGCAACAAUGAUGCCAAUUCAGAUAAGAUGCCUGAGGCUUGGCACAAGGUUGCAAUGCCAUGACAUGUUCUUGCACCAAGAAGAAGGCUUGGGCAAGGCAUGGAGCUGCAACAACAACAAGGUGGAUGUAGGAGCAUGUUGCCUCGGCAAAGACCUAAUCUGGAUGUGUAGACCAAGAGAGGGCUUGACACAGACAUGAGCUACAUAGAGGUGCAAGCAAUAGUAGCAUGAAGAGUUGGACUCGAAGUAACAUUGCCAAUCAAGCAUGAGCAAAAAUCUUGAUUCCUAUUGUAAUUAUAGUUUGAGUAAGACUAAGAUUGUUUGUCACUAGUUCAAGUAGGAAUGGUCGGUGCCAUAACCUAUGAGCAAGAGUCCAAUUAAAACUAGGAUUGUAUACUCCUAGUCUAACAAGGGGUGGGUGACACUACUCUAUAAUAAGGGACGACGGGGAAAGCCUUCUAACAAAGAGUUUUAGAGAAAGCAUGAACUCACCAAAGAGAUUAUAAGAGUCAUGUUGUAAGUCAAACCUUGUAUAUAUUCUUAUUUAAUGGGUUAAUAAAAUACAAGUUGGGAUCAACGUCCAGUGAUAUGAUGUGUGCCUUGUGUGAGAUUGUUCCUUGUUGCCAUCUCAUUGGGGAAAGUGUAAGCUAGCUUAGAUGGCUUCUAAGCGCCGCACAUAUGUGAAAACUUGAGUGGGAAUUUCAUGGUUGUGACUUGUGACAGUUACUUUAUAUUUAUCCCUUUCGAAGUCUUGUCAUAUGAUUAGUCAAGAGUCAAGCAAGUAUGAGGAGCCUAAACCCCAAACCAAAAAAAGGUAGUGGACUUGGAGGAAAAUAGGGGCAGUUCACCUACGUUCAAGCCCCUCGUUACAAUCAGUCUAUUCCCCUACAAUAAUGCUCAACAAGUAUUUCUAGGCUCCUUAUUGAUGAAUGAAGAGUGAUGAUGAAUAAUUUUCAUACUCCAAAAGAAUGUUGACAUAUAAGCUUGGAGGUAUUUUGAAGUUAAAAAAAUUGACCAACAUGUUUUGAGCCAUCAGUUGGAAGUGAACUCAAAAUGAAGCCAGCAUGGCAAAAGACACAAAAGUUAGAGGGCUUUGGUAAAUUAACUUAAUGUGGCUUAAUAAUUUGAUUUAAGUCAUUAAAAAGAUUAAAUAUGUUUAAUAAAAUAAUUUAAAAUCAUAACUUAAAGCAAAAAAAUAAUUUUAAGUAUUAAAUUAAAAUAGUUAAUUUAAAAGAUUUUUGAUAAAUCAACUUUAUGAUUUAAUGAUUUAAGUGGUAUUUGUUUUUUUAUUAAACAAAAAGAAUACAAAUAUUUAGUUUUUUCUAUUUAAUUAAAAGUAACAUAAUAAUAUCAAUUAAUAUGAUUAAAGUGAAUUUCUUAUCAAUAAGUUUAGUCUAAUUAUAUUGAUUGAUAUCAACAAGUUACUUUUAGUCGAAUAAAAAAAAUCAAAUAUUUUGACUUUGUUUAUUUAAUAAAAAAAAACAAAUACCACCUUAAUUUAAGUCAUUAAGUACAUUAAUCAUGUUUGGUAAAAUAAUUUAAUAUUAUAACUUAAAGUUAUUUUUAACUUUAUAUAUUGAAUUAAAAUAGUUAAUUUAUUCUUAAUCUUAAAUCUUUUUUAUCUUAUUUGCCCACACUAUGAAUAUAUUUUAAAAUUAUGAUUCUAAAUGCAUGACUCAGUUUUUAUAAUAAAUAUUUUAUUGUUAUUUUAUAUAUCUAUAAUAUUUUAAAUAUGAAUAUUUUAUAAAUAAAUUUAAAGCAUGAAUAUGAGUUUAAAUAAAAAAGGAUAACUAUUAGUUAAAAUCAUUGAAGGCAAAUGUAUCAAUUUAAUGAUUUAGAAUACAUUUUAGGUUAAUUUUAUCAAAUAAUCUUAAUACUUAAAGUAAAAAUAUAAAAAUAAGUUUUAAAUUAAUAAUUUAACUUAAAGUCAACCUAAGUAAUUAAAAAAUAAAUAUUAAUAAUUUUUACCAAAUAUCCACUUAUUCUCAAUCUUAAAUUCUUUUUACCUCCUUUGUCAACACUAUUUAGAGUAUAUUUUAAAAUUAUGAUUCUAUGUUUAUAAUGAAUUUUUUAUAAUAAAUAUUUUAUGGUUGUUUUACAUAUUUACAAUACUUUAAAUAUAGAUGUUUUAUAAAUAAAUUUAUUACUUAAAAUUAUAAAAAUAAAUAUAAGUUAAAAUAAAUCAGGAUAGAUAUGGGAAAAUUAGCAAGGGUAAAUGUAUUAAUUUAAUAAUUUUAAAUUAAUUUUAUCAAAUAAUUUUAAAUAAUAAAAUUUAAAUUAACAACUUAAAAAUAGUUCAACUUAAAAUCAAUUUAAAUUAUUAAAUUUUAUCAAAUACCCACUCGAGAAGCACAAAAUAAGAGAAGUUCACUACCUAGACUCAUGGCUAAUGUGGUCUUCUUGCUUAGAAAAAACAGAGAGUGGAGGAUGUGCAUUGAUUUAACUGACUUAAAUGGAGCAUGCCCUAAAGAUAGCUUCCAUUUCCCCGAAUUAACCAAGUGGUGGAUGCUGUAGCCAAACAUGAGCUAUUGACGUUGAUGGAUGCAUUUUUCUGGCUACACCUAAAUAGCCAAAACUCUCCUUUCGCACCACCCAAACAUUCAAACGUACCUCAGGAUGUUCAUGGAUAUUCCAACGGUUUCAAUGUCAAGAUCAAGUUGUUGGACACCAGCCCAGAAAAACUGAUAAGCAAGGUGGACGGAUAUCAAAGUUCAUGUCCAACAGUUUCAAUGUCAAGCUAAAGUCGUUGUACACGAGCCCGGAGCAGUUGAUGAGCAAGGUGGGUUAGUCCGAGUUCAGGUCUACAACGGCCCAAUAGCAAAGCAACAUAUUACUGCAAAGCAAAUUCUAGUGAAUGCAAUUAGCAUAUUGAUAAAUCCUAAAAAAUUGCAUACAUAGACAAUGUUAAUCAUCACCUUUCAAGGUACUCCAGUCAUAUAUAUAUAUGGUGAUACAUGGAUGUCUCAACGACUCGUAAAACUUGCUUCCAAGCUUUGUGUCGCCCCUGCAUUUGCUUUACCAAAUGAAACUGCACUGCCAGCAAACCAUUGACCCACCACAAACAUUGAUUCCACCAGUAUAAGAACCAGUACUUCCUCCUCCUUGACAUCCAAACAUACACUAGGAAGCACUAUAACCCAAGGAGGAUCACUUUUCAAAGAAAAAUGGCGGUGCAUUGUUGUUGGUACCAGGGGUCGCUCUUUCUCUUCUGUUUUUUUCUUGGGUUCCUUUGCUUUCCAGCUGAUGCAGCAGUAAAGAAGUAUCAGUUUGAUGUGAGUUCCUACUAUACAUAUUUCUUUUCCAUUCACAAAGGUUUCUCAUUCAUGAUCUUUCUUGCAUCUACAAACUGAAAUAUAAACUAACUGCUCUUCUGCUUCUCUGGGUCUCAGAUUCAAGUGAAGAAUGUGAGCAGGCUCUGCCAUGCCAAACCAAUUGUUACAGUAAAUGGGAUGUUCCCAGGACCUACCAUUUAUGUCAGAGAAGGAGAUCAAGUCCUCGUCAAUGUCACCAACCAUGCGCAAUAUAACAUUUCCAUUCAUUGGUGCAUAUAUUGAAUAUCCAUUUCCAUAUAUUGAUAUGUACGUUCAUUAGAUUUAGUUUACGUUCAUAUUCACAGAUGCAACUGUUUGUUUUACACAGGCAUGGCUUGAAACAAUUUCGUAAUGGUUGGGCUGAUGGACCGGCUUAUAUAACACAGUGUCCCAUCAAAACGGGGCACAGCUACACGUACAACUUUCAAGUCUCGGGUCAGCGAGGAACGUUAUGGUGGCAUGCGCACAUUUUAUGGCUAAGAGCAACAGUUUAUGGCGCCAUUGUCAUCAUGCCUAAACAAGGAACUCCAUUUCCAUUCCCUCAACCUUAUUUCGAGGCUAAUAUAGUCCUAGGUUGGCAGUCAUAUGAUGAUGAUGAUCACCUAGAAUUAUUUGAAAAUUUUUGAAGUGGAUUGAUGGUUUAACAUGCAGAAAUUCUGUGCAGGAGAAUGGUGGAGUUCAGAUGUUGAAACAAUUGUUAAUCAAGCUAAUAAAUUGGGGUUGCCACCUCCUAUGUCAGAUGCUCAUACUAUUAAUGGAAAACCAGGGCCACUCUUCCCAUGCUCUGAGAAGCGUAAAACCCUAAUCUCAACUCAUGCGCCACACCCCACCCCCCCACGACCCCCCUUUUUUUUUCCAAACCCAGAAAAAGAAAAUGAAAUCUCACGAAAAUAACUCAUUGUAAAGGUUUCUUCCAUUUAAUUUGCUUGUAACCUGACCUAGAUCUCUUACUUUGCUUUGUUCCAGAUACAUUUGCCAUGGAGGUUGAGUCAGGUAAAACCUACCUCCUAAGGAUCGUCAAUGCUGCACUCAAUGACGAGCUCUUCUUCGCAAUUGCUGGUCAUAAUAUGACAGUUGUAGAGAUUGAUGCAGUCUACACCAAGCCCUUCACAACCCAAGCUCUCCUAAUUGCACCUGGCCAAACUACAAAUGUGCUGGUUAAAGCUGACCAAUCUCCAAGUCGAUACUUCAUGGCAGUCAGGCCUUUCAUGGAUGCGCCAGUCCCCGUGGACAACAAGACUGCUACUGCAAUUUUGCAAUACAAAGGCAUCCCAAACACAGUUCUCCCAACCUUGGCCCAGCUGCCUGCUCCUAAUGACACCAACUUUGCAUUGAGCUACAACAGUAAGCUAAAGAGUUUAAACACUCCACAAUUCCCUGCAAAUGUCCCCCUUCAAGUUGAUCGCCAUCUCUUUUACACCAUUGGUCUAGGACAAAACCCAUGCCCCACUUGCCAAAAUGGAACACAACUCACUGCUUCACUGAACAAUAUAACCUUUGUGAUGCCUAAAGUUGCGCUUCUGCAAGCUCAUUAUUUCAAUAUUAAGGGAGUUUUUAGAACUGACUUCCCAGACCGCCCUCUUGCUCCAUUCAAUUACACAGGCGCACCACUUACUGCUAAUCUCGGCACUUCCUUAGGCACAAGGCUCAGUAAGUUGGCUUUCAAUUCAACCAUUGAAUUGGUAUUACAAGACACUAAUCUCCUGACCGUUGAGUCCCAUCCUUUUCAUCUUCAUGGUUACAACUUCUUCGUUGUGGGGAAUGGGAUCGGAAAUUUUGAUCCCAAGAAAGACCCAGCAAAAUUCAACUUGAUUGAUCCCCCAGAGAGAAAUACAGUUGGAGUCCCAACUGGAGGUUGGACAGCUAUCAGGUUCAGAGCUGAUAAUCCAGGUAAUCCAAUGCAGAAGUACUACAAGCAUCUGCGAAAACCACUCUAAAUAAGCAAUACAUGCACAAAUUUUGAAACAAGAUAUUCAUUCACUAUUUACAUUGGUCUGCAGGUGUUUGGUUCAUGCACUGUCAUUUAGAACUCCACACCAUGUGGGGGUUAAAGAUGGCUUUUGUGGUUGAGAAUGGAAAGUCGCCUGAAGAAUCUGUUCUACCACCACCAAAAGACCUUCCACCCUGCUAGAUGUUGCUUAACAAAGAAGAAAUCUUGACUGUCACUUGGGGAGCUUCAGUUUCUUCUAUAUGCCUCCCUUUUUCUAUUCUCCUGCAAAAGCUGCAGUAAUUCUUUGAGUAUGAGAAUCCAUAAUUUAAAUGAAUUGUUUUAUGAUUGUUUAGAGGUCUAGAUGAGACCUUUAUAUGUCAAUAAACCUCUAUCAAGGAAAUCGUCUUUUGAUUCACUAAUAUAUCUGUUCCUCACAACUUGGGUUUUGAGACUGCCAUGGCUUUACUACAGAAAUUAAAGAAGUGAUGCAACAAUGCCUUAAAAGGGUUAAUGCUCUCUACUGAAGAAAAUUUCAGAACUCAAAAUCCUAUAGCUCGCUAUAGUGCACCUAGGAGGAGUUCAAGAUGACACCACCAAAAGAAGUAUAAGAAAACAAAGGUUCUAUUCUCCCACAUCAAGCAUAACAAGAAAACCUUGGUAUAAAAGCAGCUUAUAUAGACUUGUCAGGCACUAUAAUCAAAACCUGUUACUACUUUGCAUUUCUCUGUCACUAUACUCGAAACCAGAGUAAAGGAACAACAACUCAUCAGGACAACUAUAUAUUCUACAUUAGAUGAAGAUUUUGAUCAGGUUCUCAAGGUACUAUUCAAUGAUGGAAGCCUUCUAUUUGGGAAAGAAAUAUAAUCUCCAGCAACAGGUAAAUUUUUAUGAAUUGGAACCACCAUUCAUACCCAAAGGAAAACUGACUGUAACAUAGCUGGAAUAUAUCAACUGACACCAGCUUAUGAGGAAACAAUACAGCAUUUGCACCAAAAGAAGUUCCUUUUAAGGAGAGCACCUGUUAUCAUUUGAGAAGAGCUUAUUCCUAGGCAUAAAAGACAAUCUAAGGGUCAUAGCACCUUCAAAAAGAAAGAAUAAUAGCAAACAAAACACUUGAAUUUGCACGGACAAGGAUUGAUUAGGAAUUUACAGUCACGCCAUGAAGUUACAGAAGCACAAAAUGUCAUUGUUACAAGAGUUGUAUAGCCAGUGAACCCUGAUUUAAACCAGCUAAAGAGGAGCAAGCUUCCCUUAGCCAUCCUGGCAUAUUCAUAACACCCUUCAAUCUACAAACACCUCAAAAACAGGGGCUAAAUUUACAAAAGAACAUAGUAAUCAGUUACCAACACGAACACAAGAUACCUAGUUCAAUAAUAAUUGAAGUUUAAGCAAGAUCCAUAGUCUAUUAUAUGAGAAAGCGCAAGUUUGUGAGAAUGCCACACAAAUCCUUAUCCAAGUCCUCCAAGAUUUGGAGGAUUUUCUCCUCUACGAAUAUCCAUACUGUGUGGCUUAUAGAUGCCAAAAAGGAUUGUUCAAAUUAAUACAUGAAUACUUAUUGCGAUCUCCUUUCUCCUAUUUUGAUGGAAGUUUACAAGCAUACAGAAAUUUGUAAGUGAAACAUGAGGUGAAUUACAAUAUACCUUCUAAACGAUGAUAUGGUAAUUUGAUUGUUAUCUAAUAUGCAACAAAAGGAAUUUCAUCUAUCUAGCAAUCAAAAUGUAUAAAAGGGAAAAAUAAAUAAGAUACAGUGAUGUUAUACUGUAAGUUUCAGUCUAAAAUAUUCAAUUGCCCAACUCACCAUGUUCAUGAUUUUGGUGCCCAUUUGAAGAGGAUAAUGGUGUCUUUACAUCGCACGGCCUUGAUUUUUUUGAAUUGCAACGUUGUGAUUUUUGCCUAAAAACCAACAUUUUGGGAAUGAUGUUCCAACUUCUCUUCAUCUUCACCAGCUUCUGAAUCUCUUGUUUCAUGCUCAAGCACUCUUUCUCAAGCUCCAAAACACGCUCUCUCAUGUCAUCAACACCAGCACCAUGAUCUUGUUCAGGGUCCACUUGAUGGGAACCAUCAGUUUUGGGGAUCCCAAGGUUGUCAUUGGGAUCUUGUGAGUUUGCAAGAUUGUCGGACACAAAGAACCAACCAGAAACUGUUGUUCGGAGGCGAAGCUGUUCAAAGAAGAGGACUUGGACAAUUACUCGGAGAGGUAGCCUCUCAUUCUGAGCAGCAUGGGUGCUGGCCUCUAAUGAGAGCUUCUGGCAAUUCAUGAGUCUGCAGAUCUGCUCUCUCUCCGAAUCUAUAAGCCAAGGAUGUGCCUGAAAAAUUGUGAUAUGUGUUAAGCAUUUAGCAUUUUCAGAACUAGACAUUGUCACACAUCAACGCAUACAUAUGCUGAUGUACUUGUUGAUAAUGUUCCCCAAUCCAAGCUAGCCCAUAUGCUAGCACGUGAUCCAACCCCUCCCUACACCAUCUGCAGCUUACCAUGGUUCAUAGUAGGCCGCUUUCCUGGUUCUGAUCCUAGAGCCAACAAAAGGAGUUUCACACAAUUUGCCAGCAGAACUAAAAAUAUUUUAUCUUAGUUAAUUCAGUUGACUGGCAAUUGCCAUCUGAUUAGACUGGAUUGAGACAUGAUCCCACAUUAUUUCAUUAAUUUCACUGAACAAAGGAGGAUUUUUAUUAAAUGUGAAGAUAAGAUAUAGCCAUUUCCAAGGUUCUCUUAUUUCAACAAACUUUUAUCAUUGUAUAUAAAAAUAUUCUAGUCAUUCCAGGGUUCUGUUUCAAUUUUUAUACAGGAAGCAUCAUGAACAUGGGAUUCGCCAAAUACUCUAGAUUUCUUUACCUUAAGGUAUAGAUCAAUUGCAUGGUAAAUGCUGUCAUUAACUGGUCUAGCAUAAUCAGGUACAGCAGCAGCAAGUGACUGAAAUUUUGGUAACUUCAAAUUAACAUCUGGUGCCACCUCAGCAAGAUAUCCAUCCACCAGAUUGGCCACCAACAUCACAGGUGUCAGGAAAUCAGGCCCAUCCAUCAACUUUCCCUCCUCAACUAUACAUGGAGAAGCUGUUGCAACUGCAGUAUUCUCCACUGACAUGAAAUGAUCAAGAAUCCUCUGAACACAGUCUAUAUCAUAGAGGGUUUCUACUGAAUAACCCAUAUUUGGUAUAAGAAGAUCCUCAAGUACAGCUUGGUCCAAUUGGGCUCCUACCCUCCUCUCCAAAUUUUCUCUACAUAAUGAACUUGUAUGCAAGAUCAUAGCUGUUCGGAGCAGCCUAAGAAGAAACUUAGUCGAUGUGACCCCCUUCUGAUUAGGAAGUAAAUCCACAAUAUCUUCUAGGAGAGCCCUUUGAUCUGCCUCAGAAGGAGUGGGAAUGGUUGUCCCUGGGUUGACAUGAUUUGUAUCCUUGAAGCUAGAUUGUCUAUUCAUCAAGGGGAGAUACCUCUUAGCAUAGAAAAUGAGGGAGCCAGCAACUCUCUCAGGCUUCAUCCCUCUCAAUUCAACAGCUUGCAUCAUUCGUUUAUAGAAAGGUAAACUAAGGAAGGACACAUCUCCAUACCACCAAUCUUCACGCACUGAUUGUGGCUUAUUCACAGUAGAUAUUCCAUUCCAUAAGACGACACCUGCUGGACUCUGCACAUUGGUACAACCUGACACAGGCCAACCAAAUAAGGUUGGGUCUGCACAAGCUUUCAUUGCCAAUGAAUCGAUGCAUCUUGAAACAAUAUGAAGAUCCUCAGCAUAUGGUAGAACUUCACAUGUUCCAAGAGCUUUUAUUGAGUCCACCCAAUUGCUGAAAACUUCAUUGAGGAAACCCUCUGUUUGUGCAAUAAGAUUUCCCUCGCCGUAAUUUUCAUUCAUUUGAAGGUACUCUGCCGCACACCUAAGGCUGACUAUGUUCAAAGAAGUGAGCUCUAUUUUAACACCAUAGCAAAAUUUUGUUACAAGUUCAAAUGCCUUAGCCCCACCAGGUAAUUCAUGAAGUUGUAAAACACAAUGGGAUCCAUCCUCAUUGGAGCAAUUUUCUAUAAGCUUUUCCAGUAAACCACUUCUUGAAAGCAAUGGAAACUGAAAGAAAUGCCAAAACAGGGGCGAAUAAAAUUCAGGUGAAAAUGAAAAUUUGCAUGCUAGUCAUAGAAAGCACAUGCAUAAAUAAAGUCCACAUAGAAACCAAAACACAGCAACAAUGUUAAUGGUUAAUGAAAGCCAGGUAGAAAAAGAUUGCACCUUGUGGAGAUUAAAGGACAUUUCACCAAUUUCAACAGCAACAUCGCUUGGAAGUCCAGUUGUGCAAAACCUGAGAUCAUGAUGAUGCUUCAUUAAAAUACAGAAAAAUCCUACUGGAACAGCAUAGUUCAUGGUAACAAAAUAAAUUAUUCAAUCAAACCACAUAGAUGCUAAGGGAAAAAGUUAUAUAGUUCAUGAACCCCAUAAUCCCAUUGAGCAAGGGCUGUGAUUCCUUUUAUUAUCACAACAAUCCAGUCUUCUAUUCUUGCAGAUGGUGAUGAUCAAAAUGCACCCCUCAAAAUAAUCUCAGACAGAUUAUCACAAGCAGUUAAUGUGGUAAUCUUCUGAACCUCAUUGUCUGAUGUGCAACUGUUAAAUGGUGGUUGAACCAUCCUGGUUAUCGAUUGUACAACCUCAAGAGUCAACCAUUAGCAGUACAAAGUUGUGGCUUUAGCAAGUGAUAUCUGCCAGUGGAUGAUAUGGAAUCAAAAUGCCACACAAGAUACUUUGCAAAUAUAUAUGCCAAUCAAACUCAUAUCUGCCAGGCAGCUAUAAUGGUAAUGUCAAAUUGCAGUUUUGAAAUAUUAAUAAAGUCAUUAUACUAAAUCUGAAAUUUACAAAAUCACCGGAUAGCAGUAUGAUAUCAGUACAUCAAACCCAGUCCUCUGGCCUGGACCCUUCUAUCAACUUUCGACUAUUUCAAACAAUCACACUAUUAUCUAGGGUCCAACAAAAUUUUCUCCCUCUUCCUCUCCCUUCACCCAAACAGGAACCGUAUUUUGCUACACCCCAUUGAUGUCCAUAUGAUUGUGGGUUCAUUUUUGUAGCAUGCCUACUCAAUUCUUCACUUCUGUUUCAAUGUGCUUAUGCUUGAAAUAGUACGUACCAUUAAAAAAAAAGCAUAGAAAACCCUCUGAAAUAAAGAAAGAAGGAAUAUGAUCAACUUUUUAUUCAAUGAUUUAGAUCCCAUAAAUCAUACAGCUCAACUUCAAUCUUAGAAACUCUGUAAGUGACAACUGUGUUUUAACUUCAAAAUCAGACCAUUUAGGCUUAGUUCAAUUGCCCAGAACAAACAAGACAAUGUUCAAGUAAACUUCUUGCCUUUUUCGUAGUGCGGUGGCAAGAAACUUCAUAUGAUACAUAUUCUAAAUAUUCAUAUUCAAAUUCAAGUAACAAAUUCCCAAAUGUCGUAUUUCAAAAAAGGAAAAUUGAAGCACACCCACAUCAGAUUUCUUGAUUUAGCAUUUGGAUUAAAUACCUAAAAAACCAAAUAAAAAGGAAAGAAAGAAAUGGAGGUUGAUGAAGUUUACCAGGUAUGGCCUUCACGGUGAAAGGCUUCAGGUUUAGAGCCCAGCUUCAUGCAUGCCAUGUGUUGUUGUCGUUCUGAAAUGGGCAUAGCGUAGAACAUUGAAUGAGAUCAUGAACACAGCGAAAGUGGAGAAAAAGAAUGAGAAAGAGAAAGCGAAAGAGAAAAGAGGAGUUCCGAGUCUACAGGAAUAGGUAAAGGAGAGAACGAAACAUUCUGUUUCAAAUCUCCUUGGAUUUCUCCGCCCUCUCCACCUUCGAUUUUCACUCACUUUUACUCUAGUUUUUGCCAUCUCACCAUUUACAUGUUGGUCCUAUUACCCCGACUCCAUCUUCCAUGGGAUUUACGUGAAUAAUUAGAAUUAAGCCAAUAAAAAAAAAAAUUUUAUUGGACCGGCAGUAUUGUGGUAUGAGAAGGAACAUAGUCAUCAUAUUCGAAAGGCAGCUUGAAUAAUCAAAUUCCUGAAGGAAUUUGGGUCAAUUAUAGAACUUGACUAUAUUAAGAUAACUCUCGAAUGUCCUCACACAACAUAUUAUCGUAUGAAUUUGUUUUGGGUGAAUGGAUGGAGGCGAGUUUAUGAUCAGUCACUACAGUAUGGGCCACCUUAUAUUUGGGUCACCCUUGUCAGGCCCGUUUCCAAUUCGGUCCAGAUCAAACCACCUUCUUAAACCGUUUCAACGACGUCUCCGAGUACUGUACUGUACUUCUCAAAAAGCAAACACAGACAGCUGAAAUUAAUCAAUUAUAAAACAUUGAAAUAGGGGAACAGGUGUUGUGCACCAACGGGAUGGGCCCUCAAUCUGAAUGAAUAUAAUGCGCCCACAACACCACGGAUCCAGCGUUCCAAGCCCAUGGGUUUGGGCAUAGAGCGCGGUGGCCUUUGUGCGUAUUAAUGUGUGAUGUGAAGUUGUGAUUCUUGUGAACGGCCAAUGGGAUGACGGCGCCAGCAUCGGCAGCCGAAGCGGCAGCGCAGCCGCCUCGGCCACUGUGUCAACACGUGUAUGAUUUAAUGUGGCUACCACCGUGGCACCCGCCACCCGUCUCAUCAAAGGAGCCGACGCACCCGAUUGCCUGCAAGUACAACUGCCACAUGCCCUCGCUUUUAAUUUCCUUUCUGUUUCGGGUUCACCCGUGAGUCCGUGACUCAACACCUUUCACCUUGUGUUUAUUUCUUUAAUAAUAUUUAAUUCGCAUGGAAAUUAUCAUAGAAUGGGUUUAUUUUUAUAUUUAUAUUUAAAUUUCCUUGUUUUAUUGUAUGCUAUAAAUUUAACUAUAGGAAUCAUAUCGUAGCUAUAAUGUUGUUUGGGACUACAAGCUUUUGAUCCUAUUAGAAAAGAGAAUACUACUGUUUGGAUGAAUAGAAAUUAUUCACAACCCAUCCCUUUUUUGGAAGCCAAAAUUAGAGGAGAAAAUAAGUCUAAUUAAGGUUCAGUCCAAAUACGACAACACAGGUUAGAGAUGCUCUAAAAACAGGAAAAUAAUGUAAAGCUAAAGGAGAUUAGGCCUGGAGGUGGAAUCACGGACAGGGCAAAAAUGAAAGGAAAUGAAAUGGGUAGGGGAGGGGAGAAAAUGGCAAAUACUGAUUCAUUUAAUGGAGUGACUGACUGACUGGGGAAUCCCAAAUGGCAGUAGAAGAGGAAGGUAUUGAGGGCAAAGGCCGAAGGGGCAGCGUUGAGACAGAGAUUCGGGAAGUAAGCGAGGGGGUUGGAGGAGGGGGGCCGUCACAGUCUUCACGUGGGGGCAGAUAUCCCUUGACAAGGGGACAUCAAACCCCACGUCAUCUUUCAUCAUCCUCUGACACGUGGAAGAUUCCCCCAGCUAGUCAACUUCCACCCAUUCCCACACCAACUGCCUACUUUUUGUUGUCUUGUAGCUGUCACCAUAGCCCGCUCCUUUGUCUUUUUUUUUUUUUUUCUUCUUUUUUUCUUUCCUCUCACAUCAGACAUCAACCCCCUCCCCACCAAAUUAUUAAUCAUGUAUAUUUAUAUACAAUUAUUAUCCGCUUCAGUCUACAAAGUACAAACUAAUCGUAUACAUCCAAUUUCCUUUUUCUUUUUACUUUCAAAAAACAAAUAAUAUUUCCAAAAACAAUAAUUUGUGGUAGCCUGGCCCCUGAUGUGGGUGGGUUAGGUGGCCUUAAGGGAGUGAAGAGCGUGUGCAUAGUAAUGGAUGUCUUGAAAGGAAUAUGGAUAGGGGGUCCACCCUAAUGCCCAGGGAGUGGGGCAGGCGUUUGAAGCGAGUUUUAAAGAUGGAAGAGAAGAGAUGUCCGGAGUGGUGGGCUCAAUUUGGUUCGCUUUGUUGUUUCUUCUCCAACCAUUCUCAUCUCAUCUCAUUCCUUUGUAGGCCCCCUUGCAGCUAUUGUUUUUGUUCAUCCGUCUCCAUCUCUCUGCCCCACAACAAUCCUCACGGUUAUUAAAUAUUUACCCCAUUAUAUGAGAUCAUAGCACCCCCUUCAUUUAUUUCUGAUUAGUUACAGAGGUCUUAGCAUUCUACAAUGACAAUAAUAGAUUGAAAAACUAAACUAAGAUCUUUUUUUGUAUCCAAGGUCUAAAUUAAUUAGACAGAUGUAUGAGCUACGCGAUCUUCGAGCUCGAAAUUAAUAACCUUACCUAAUAUGAUAAUUUAUUGAACCCCAAUUGGUUGGAGACCCUAAAGUACGAACCCAAUCUCAGCUUCGAGCAAACCUUUCAAAAAAGGAAGGGUUCGAGAGGAGAGAUUUUAAGGGAACAACGUGAAGAAAUUAUGAUAGGUUGAGCAACCUUAAUCAUUGUGGCCAAAGCUCCUACCUACUCUUUUUGUUACUCUUAAUUUUGAAAUGACAUCAUAAUACAGACUUUUUAUUUGAAAGAAAAUAUGAAUAAACUUUUUCUUAUUUAUUCAAUUUUAUUUUUUUUAAGAAAAUAUGAAUAAGCUUAGCUUUUUUUUUUCUUUUUUUUUUUGUUAUGGUUUAAAAAUUAUUUUAGUAGAAUAUUUAUUGGAUGUAUUUUUUCAAAUAUAUUAUUUUUGCUCAAAAAUCCAUGUCCGCAUUCCAUUUACCCGACAAAGGUGAAACAGCCAAUCAAGUUUCCGGAGUAGAUUCAGUACACAGUGAGUAGCGUGCAAGCACGCGCUUCAUGAAAGCGUGAGUGGGAAGCAAUGCCUUCCACUCUUCCCUGCAAAUAGAAUGGACUGACAGAGAGUUCCAGUUAACCUCUACCUUCUCGAAGGUUAAAAAACUAACCCAGGUCCCAGGCUAAACAGUCAACCGUAGUUAAAUAAGCCUGGAAACACGUAACUAGGGUUAGAAUCUCCAGUUAAGGACUGCUUUGCUUUGAGAGAAGUAAGACCAAAAGCUGCCACUCCCCAAAAAAUCCCGAUAAGUGGUCAAAAUACCACGAUACGAUCAACCUCAAGCGAUAAAAGUGGGAAAACAAAACAGCCCAAUCCAAUCCAAUUUUUUUAUGAGUAACAGAAUUGAGAAACAAAUAUUUUAUGAAGUAAAAAGAACAAGGAAAGCAAAAACAAAUGGGAAAAAGGUGAAAAUGGUUUUGCUUUCUUUAAGAUCUUUGUUGGUUUGCUGGCUUAGCAAGAUACACAGUUUCUCCAGAUCCGAAGAAAAAGGUAGGAAAUAGAAAAUCAGGUUAAAAAAAAAUUAUUAUUAAUAAUUAUAAAAAAAAAUGAAGGUACUACUUCUUGCUCUGAGUUCUGAUAUUUUUAACCUUUUCUGUGCUGUGGCUUUGGACUUUUGUAUGAUCCAAAAGGCAUUGAAUGAAUCUUUGAAAACUUUUACUCUCUCUUCUCUCUCUUCUCUUCUCUUCUAUAUUGCUUUAGCUGAGUGGAUUUUCCUAUGCUUUAUCUGCCUUGUCGGUGAUUGUUAUCAAAGCCUCAUAAAACAAUAAAUCAGGAUUUUGGAAUUGUUUUGUUGUUUUUGUUUUUUUGUUUUUGUUUUUAAGCAGAGGUUUGUGUGUAGUUAGUGGUAGUUGAAGGACACCGAUUAUCUUUGUGUUCUCCUCUGGAGUGUGUUUCGUGCGUGUGUGUGCCGACUCUGGAUCUUGAUGAGUCAUUUUUCCCGACUCGGCUCGGGAAUCGCUGAGUCGGAAACGAUUUGAGGAUCGGCUGGGCUGAGUUGUGGGAGCUUGGGUUGAUGAGCCGAGGGAGGAAGGAGCUAGGGUUUGGACUCUGUAACUGUGUGAUUUGUGGAGUUGAAGCGAUGAGCGGAAGGAAUGCUUUUUUAUUUCGAGAGUUGUAGGGUUUUUCUGCUGAGUUUCUUUCUUUCUUUUGUUUGUUGUGUUUGUUGAUGAUGAUUGAAAUUGUUGAAGUGGGGAAUUGAAGUGAAUGAAGGUUUAUGAUUUUGUGGUUUGGUCAAGAUUUUGUGGAAUUGUACGUGUUUUAGGGUUUUCUUGAAAGAGAUCGAGAGGAAAGUUCUUGUUAAAAUAUAAUUCUUGUUGUGGUUUGGAAUAGAGUGCCCGAGUCUAUCUUAGUUUGGCGGGGAAGGUCCUAUUUUUGGUUCUGCUUUGAUCGGAUGCUUCAUAAGGUAAAGAAAAAUUUUCAGAUGAAAAUUUAUUAUGUUGUGUACGAUUUGUUUUCUUCUUCCUUACUGUUGAUUAAAUCAUAAGAAGCCUAAAUCUUGUGACGUCUGUGGCAGGAAGGAGCUUUUAUGCAUUGAAGACUGUUGAUUACUAUCACAACAUUGAUUGAAAUGAUUCCAUUUUUGGGUUCAAAAGAGAAAUCAAAGGAGGCGGGGAAGUGUUUAAAUCCUCAACUCUGGCAUGCUUGUGCCGGAGGAAUGGUACAAAUGCCUCCUGUGAAUAGCAAGGUCUUUUACUUUCCCCAAGGCCAUGCUGAGCACGCAUGUGCUAGUGUGGAUUUCAGGAAUUACCCAAGGAUUCCGGCAUACAUACCCUGCAGAGUUUCUGCAAUGAAAUUCAUGGCAGAUCCUGAGAGUGAUGAGGUUUAUGCGAAGAUUACUCUGGUUCCGUUGAAUGGUAGUGAGAGUGAUUAUGACGAUGAUGGAUAUGGAAAUGGAACAGAGUCCCAAGAGAAACCUGCCUCUUUUGCAAAGACAUUGACACAAUCCGAUGCCAAUAAUGGUGGGGGCUUCUCAGUUCCACGAUAUUGUGCGGAGACUAUAUUUCCCCGCUUGGAUUACACUGCUGAUCCUCCCGUACAAAACAUCCUUGCAAAGGAUGUGCAUGGAGAAACGUGGAAAUUUAGGCAUAUUUACAGAGGGACUCCACGGCGUCAUCUAUUGACAACGGGAUGGAGCACUUUUGUUAACCACAAGAAGCUUAUAGCUGGGGAUUCAAUUGUAUUUUUGAGAGCAGAAAAUGGGGAUCUUUGUGUUGGAAUUCGAAGAGCAAAGAGGGGAAUUGGAUGUGGACCGGAAUCAUCUUCUGGUUGGAACCCAGCUGGUUGUAACUAUGUCAUGCCAUAUGGAGGAUUUUCAGCAUUCCUGAGGGAAGAUGAGAACAAAUUGACAAGAAAUGGGAAUGGUGGCAGUUCAGGCUCCAAUGGGAGUUUUUUUGGCAGGGUAAAAGUGACGGCUGAAGCCGUUAUUGAAGCUGUGAGACUUGCUGUCAAUGGGCAGCCCUUUGAGGUCAUCUAUUACCCACGAGCUAGCACGCCAGAAUUCUGUGUGAAGUCUUCAUUGGUGAAGUCAGCAUCGCAGAUCCGGUGGUGUUCUGGGAUGAGGUUCAAAAUGGCUUUUGAAACUGAGGAUUCUUCACGUAUAAGUUGGUUUAUGGGGACUAUCUCCUCUGUUCAGGUUGCUGAUCCCGUCCGCUGGCCUGAUUCACCUUGGAGGCUUCUCCAGGUAUUGUCGUCUCUCUUGUUUAUGCAUUUCUAUUUACUGUAAAAAGCAAAAACGAAAAAAAAAUGAAAAAGAAAAAGAAAAAGAAAAAGGAAAAAUAUAUGGUCCCUGAACGAAGGUGCCAUGUUUCCCCUUGUUUCUGUUGCUUUUUUUCCCUUUUUUUAUUCUGUUUUAAAGUUUUGCCAACUCUGCUCUCCAAAUGAUUUCUCAUCCUGAAGAAAGCUUUUUUUGAAGUUUCAAAUUAUGAAAGAGAAGAAAAGAAGAGAAUUAUCCUUUUUUGGCAGUUCACAUCCUUUGUAGUUUAUUGAAAAUAAUACAGCAUAUAAAGGUUCAAAUUUCGUUUGUCUUCAACAUGCUCUUGCUACGACUUGCCAUACGGAGACAACUGUUUUUGGGUAAAUAAUUUUUUUUUUUUUCUCUCUAGUUAUGCAAAUGCUGAUAUCACGGACCUGGGCUUGAAACCAUCCUUCCGUAUAUCAUACAACCACCUCAUUUACUGUUAUAUAUUGUCUGGGAGGUUUUAUUUGUAUCAGAUGCUGCUCAGUACUUGCAUCAGAUACUGCUCAGUAAUAAUAUGUUAGCUAUUUAACUGGAACCAGAGUGUGUUAUAUGGUACUGGGAAUCUUUGGGUCAUGAAUCUCAAUGGUCCAUUAUCUUAUUAUUGAAUUGGUUCUCUGUUUAAGUUUAUAAUGCAUAAAUUCGGGUGUCUAUUCUGUUCUAAAAUUUUUCUCUUCCUGGAUGUUUCUGGUGCUAUGCUGUUGUGUCGCUUCUUACACUACUCUGUUCUGAGUAGAAUUCUAAUGCUAUUGCAGUAGAUUGCAUCUUCCUUAGCACCAAGAAUCUUGUGCACCAAGUUUUUAUAUUUCUUGAACCAUUAAUGGUGAAAGAUCCUCAAAUUUUUGAGAGCACAUACUUCGAUUAGCAAAGUUUCAAACAAAGUAGAAUGGAGGCUGUUUUGAUUCAUGGAGAGUCUCAGAUACACAUCCCUAUAAGUUGUGCAAAGGGCAUUAAUAAAUGUUUUUAUGCACAUACCUAGAGAAGAUGUCUUUGUAACCUAGUAAUGGUUCAGAUCUAUGAAGUUCUGCUCAGGCUACCCUAAAGAAGUACUCAUAAGGUUAUUCUCAAUUGAGGUUUCCUGGGAGAUUUAAUACAAUUUUUAAACAGACUAUAAAAUAUCUUGAUUUUGUAUCGCCAUAGGGCUAGUAAUAGUUACAAGUAUUGAACAAGACCAGUACAUUGAUCCACCUACCGGAGGGCUCAGCUUAGAACCUCCCAGUUAAUCUCUUUUCUCCCAUAUCACCCGGACUCUUUGGUUUCAAUCUCUUUUCUUUUCUUUUUCUCCCCUGGACUUGGUUGCCUUACAUUUCCUCUUUGAGUUUCUACAAAGUUAAUGAUAUAAUCUCUCUGUUCCCUCCCCUCUCAUCUGCUCUUAAUAAUUUGUUGAAGUAAAUAUGUUGCAGGUGACAUGGGAUGAACCAGAUCUGCUUCAAAAUGUGAAACGCGUCAGCCCAUGGCUGGUAGAAUUGGUAUCCAAUAUGCCAUCCAUCCAUCUGACCCAUUUUUCACCACCGAGAAAGAAGCUGAGAUUCCCACAAUACCCAGAUUUCCCCCUUGAUGCCCAAUUUUCAAUGCCAACGUUUUCCAGCAACCUUGUAGGGCCAAGUAACCCCUUUGGUUGUUUAUCCGACAAUAUUCCUGCUGGCAUGCAGGGAGCCAGGCAUGCUCAAUAUGGUUUAUCUUUAUCUGAUCCCCAUCACAAUAAAUUUCAGUCAGGUCUGUUUCCAGCACCUUUCCCACAGCUCGAUCAUCCUGCCACACCCCCUAAAGCCUCCAAUGAUUAUGUUAGUCGCAAACGUAGCAGCAGUGAAAAUGUUUCUUCCUUGUUAACCAUUGCACAAUCUACAGAGACUUCAAAGAAAUCCGAUGAUAGAAAGACAGGAUUUACACUUUUUGGUCGAUCAAUACUAACUGAGCAACAGAUGUCCCAAAGCUGCUCUGGUGAUACGGUCUCACCAGUUAUUACUGGGAAUAGUUCAUCAGAAGGGAAUCAAGAUAAGAUGGCAAAUUUUUCUGAUGGUUCUGGAUCUGCACUUCAUCAACAUGGCCUUCCAGAGCACUCAUCCUGUGAAGGGUACCAAACAUACAAGGUUAAUCACCGUGAAACCGAGCCCAACUUGGAGACUGGUCACUGUAAGGUUUUCAUGGAAUCUGAGGAUGUGGGUCGCACUCUUGAUCUUUCAUUACUUACAUCUUAUGAUGAAUUAUGCGGCAAGCUGGCAAAAAUGUUUACUAUAGAAGAUUCUGAGAUGCGGAACCAUGUGCUCUAUAGGGAUGCAACUGGUGCAGUCAAACAUAUCGGCGAUGAACCAUUUAGGUGAGAGUUGUUUUGCCUGUUGCCCCCCUCAUUCUUCCUGUUUCAUCUCUUGACCACAUUUUUUUUUAUUUUUUUUGGCAUUUUGAUAAAUGAGUGUAGGGAUAUAAUCUCUUAGCUUUUUUGAAAGAGGACCAAUGUUUUCAAAAAUCAAACUAACUCUUUAUUUUCCUUUGUCUGACAUUGCAGUGACUUCACAAAAACAGCGAAAAGGUUGACAAUUUUAAUGGAUUCAAGCAGCGACAAUGUAGGAGUGUAUAGAAAAUAAGAAACCUCAAUUGUCAAAUGUACAGCUGGAUGACCAAAUCCUUUGUUCCAUGCUGACCUUUUUAUCCUUCCUAGGGUUGGGGAGAUGGGGAGCUCGUUUGAUGCAGUUUUGGACUUUCCAGUAUAAAGCCUCCCAGAUUCUUGUUUUUUCCACAACUGAGGAAGCAAUCUUUGAAUUUUGGAAUUUCCCUUAAAAUAAAUGCAUUAGUUCAAUCAGCAAAUUUGUUGGUAGUCUGUUCUAUUGUAUUAUUCAGACAAUGCUUACAAAUACAAGUUAACAAGUGCUUGGGUCGAAAGGCUUUUGAGAAUGAAAUUAAUGCAUACAAGUCUUCUAAGCAAAGCUAGCAAGCAGCACAUCAGUCAUAUAUACUGUCUGAGGUGCUGCUUUCUUGAUCGUCCUCCUGGUUUAUUUUGUGUAAACAUACUUUAUGGUUGCCCAUACAAGUUAUCUUCCAAUUUCUUGUAUGUAUUUAAGAACAAUAAAACACCUCUCUACCCUGAUUAUAUAUAUUGAUAUGUCCAUUGUCAGGCUUUCUUGGAAGAGACUGUCAGUGUCCAAAUGCCUUACUGAUGUAAAUGAGAUUCAAUUUUUAUAAUACCUGUGGGUGGCCCAUGCUAUUGGGGGUUUUUAAUCUUUGAAAUUUGUUCCAUGGAUUGAGACUAGUGGGGCUGGGGAAAACCGGUUUCAAAAGGUCCUUCCAGGUUAUAACUGUGUGAGUUUGACCAAAUUGGGUUUUGGGUUGUUAAGAAGAGGUUGUUUAAAGGGGAAACAGAUUCUCAAGGAUUACGGAAAUGGACUUCUGAUCAGUAGGUGAGCAACACGUGUGACAAAUUCUCAAACCUGCCCAAAAUAUGGAAGAAAAAGCCAAAAAAAAAAAAGAAAAAAAAAGGAGGGGGGUAGAUGGGUGUGAAUGGCACAAGUCACACCAUCACAUGAUAAGCCUAUUAUUAUUAUUUUGUGUUUGCAACAACUUUCAAGUAAAUGUCCCCGCAAGUGUUGGAUUAAGUUAUAGGGAUUGCAACAAAGAUUAGUCAAAUCCAAUAGCUAAAACAACAGGGAAGAGCUGGAAACCACAACACAUUCUAGGCGGCCGCACGUGAGGCACCCACGUGGGUUGUGGGGUCAACAGCAAUAAUAGAUUCACGUGUGGCUUCAAGGUUCAACGUCACCCCCAAAAAGUGCAUAUGUUGCGGCGUUUGAAUUACAGGGCUGUUGCCGUUUUUCCAGGAAAAUUGUUUGUUGGUUUUCCCUCCAAUGUGAUGCUGAGGUGGAUAUUUAUUGAUUCCACAACUAAUCUCUACUUGCUCCCUCCAUUUUAUAUUUGCAAGUGGGCUCACGGGGGUAAAUUAAUCUGAAACUAAAAUGAAAAUCCAUGGUCAAGGACUCCAGGGUGGGAAUUUGGGAAGGAGACACUCCCAUUUCCAAAGCUUUGUUUCACUCAUGUUUCUUUGUUUUCAGUAGUCAUGCUUUCUCCACCCAAACCCUCCCUGGGGUUUCGCUUGCCUUCACAAUUACGUCAACUCGUCAACCGACUCCUCCUUUCUUUUCUUUCCCUAACAAGCCAACACGGAAACACCCAAAACGAUGAGAAAGCUGCCGUUUUGAGAGAUCCAAGUCACGCGAAAAGGGGCACGCUAUCUGGGACAAUUACGUCAUCAGCAUUGAAUGAGAGUGAGAUUUUUUGUCCUUUUUGACUUUUCCUUUUCACCUCAUUUUUUCAAGUGGUCCACGCCAGAUUAGUGUUAGACGUGUCCUUUUCCUCCACUGCCCUUCCCGAAAAACCCAACUUCUCGUCUACUUAUAUAUCGCGUUCAUUUCAAAGUUUUUGUACUUUUAAUUUUCAGAAAUUCCCUUCGUCUUAUAAUUGCGAUAACUGACGAGAGAAGUCGUGGGCGGUAUCCUAGAUUGCGCAUAAGAUUCCCACAAAGCCUAAUAUUGCGUAUAGAAUAAUAUUUCUUUUAUUUUAAGAUAAGUAAUAAAAAUGAUUGCGUUUGAUAAUCAUGAUGGUGACAGAUUUCAUGGACUUGUGUAACAAAUUUGAACAUUUACAAAAAGUUAGCAGAGGAUGCCCGUGCCCUUAGUCUAUUUUCGGCAGUUAGGUACUAUAUACGAACGGAGUUAUAACUUUUUACUUCAUUCACUGUCUCAUAGAUUAGGACUCGUAUAAUGUUGAAGAUUAGAUGAUGGAGCCAUGGACCCACGAGUUUGAACUUGAUCAUAAUUUAUACCUUUCUUUUUUUUUUUUCCCUUGACACGAAAGCGUGGUCUUUGAAUGAUACCGUCCUGGAAGAAAGCUAUAUAAAAGGAUGAUUGACUAAUUUCCUUUAAAAAAAAUGAAAUUUCAUGAUUGAUUGAGAGUAAGAUGACUCCUUUCUCAUAAUAAUAAUAUUGGGAGAUAUAGGUCGAUAGAGUGUAACACGUGAGGAUGACUUUAAUGCAGCUAAUGGGAUAGAGAAAAACAAAUUGGUGGAGAGAGCGGAGAGGGUGACCACUCUACCUCUCUUUUUCCUUGUUUUUUUCCAACCCAAUACGACACUGAUUCCAACUGCCCACGCCCGUGCGGUGGACCCCCGUCCCAACGGAUACUGCUUUCACCACGUCAUUCUCCCUAAUUUCCCCUCCCCUGGGCCUCCCUUUAACUUUAACUUUAACUUUUGCAAGAGGCCUGCCCCACCUCAUGCUAGGUCCGUCCAUCACUCCCCGGCCCACACCCACUUCUAAAGCUCGGAUUUUAUUGCUUCUCUGAGUUAUACCAUGAGUUUCACGUGUACCGCUACUGGGGGUAAUGGAACUUCGGCUGGGCUCGGCUGAGCAAAGCUGUCAAUCCCAAGACAGGUGGUUGGACUUGGGCCAGCCCAGUGUAGGCCAUGUCUUUUCAUGGCUUGGGCCCCAUUUUACCAGGAGUGUACAAAUCAAGGCCCACCCCGGCUCACAUGUGUUAACACUGUCGGCCCAACUCAAAUUAGAGCACAAGCGGGGCCGUACAUGAUUUUAUUUUCGAAUAUUUUUAAAUAGGUAAUUUUCCAAAAAUAUUUCUAAAUAAAACAUUUGAAAUGCUUAUCCUAAAGUGUCGUAUGGACGUAUGUAUCCAUGGUCGUGCUUUAUUAUGAUAUUGAUAGUAUGGAGGUUCUCUUAUAAGUAGUUACACUUUCAUUGUAGUGUUGUAUAACAUUAAAAUUAUUAAAUCAAUUUGAUAACUUAGAAUGACUUAAUAACUUAAUUUAAAUUAUUAAGUAAAUUAAUUAUAUUUGAUAAAAUAACUUAAUGGCAUGAUUUAAAGUAAAAAAAUUAUUUUAAAUAAUAAAUAAAAAUAAUUAACUUAUUUUAAAGUUUAUAUAUUCAUUUUAUUUUUUUAUACCACUAUUAUUGCUCAACUUCUUUUAUCCUAAUUAUAAUUUAGGAAGAUAAAUAUUUCAAUUUGAUGAUUUAGAAUAAAUGUUAAAUUAAUUUUAUCCAAUAGUCUUAAUACUUAAAGUAAAAAUUAAGUAAUAAGUUUUAAUUCAACAACUUAAGUAUAAUUUAAAUUAAAGUUAACUUAAAUAAGUAUUAAGUUUUACCAAACACCCUCUUAAUCUAAUAUUAUGUCAAUUACCCUUUAAAUAUGUUGUAAUUUUUUUUCUUUAUAAAAUAUUAAGAUCAACUUUGUUCAAAAUGGAUAAAAUUUGAGAAUAUAUAUGAAAUUAACAGAAACCACACUCAAUUCAUAUUCAUUAAUACAAUUGACAAUAUUUGAAAAAAAAAUUAAAAUUCAUAUUCCCCUAAAGAAAGAAAAAAUUAGGGUAGAUUUGGCUCAUUUCUCCUAAAGUUUAGGUUAAAUAUACUUAGUUAUCAUAAGUUUAAAAUUUUAUCAAAUACUUUUCUUAUUUUGAAUCAAAUGAGAAUAGAGAGAAAAUAGCAAAUGAAACGGAUAGAAGAAGGAGAGGUAUUUGAAUCUAUGUAUAUUUAACCCAAUCCUUAGGAAAAAUGAGUGAAAUUAAUCAAAAUAAUAAUAAUUUGUUCACUAGCAUCUCAUCUGGUUUAUUGCUACCCAUCUUUCUCUUUUUGGCCCACCUCAACCCAGUUCAAGCCCAACAGGCCAUUCUAACCAAAAAUAGCUUCGGCCCAACUGUUUGACUACGAGUCCAGUGGAGGUUGGUAAAAAAACUGUCCUUAUUUGAACCACAAUGAAAAAAGCAGGGAACAUUCGAGAGGAAAAAUCAAACAUCAAAUAUGGUUGUCAUGACGUCAUAUUUACACAAGGUUUUUAAUCAUUAAAAUUCUAAAAUAAAAAAAAAAAUCAUUGCUAUCAUUUGAAAUUUAUGUUUUAAAUUCAAUUAAACAAUUUUUAUUAAUAAAAUAAUGCGCCCUAAAUACUUCUAUCAAUUAGUUGUACAAAUACACAAUUCAAUUAAUCAAAUUCUUUUACAUAUAAAGUAACCAUAAGCCAAAUCAAGCUUUAUUUUUCUUUAUCCAUAGUUAAAUAAAUAAAUAAAUAAAUAAUUUUUUUAAAAUAUGAUUGUAGUUGGAAAUAUGGACUUGAUAAAAACAUUCUUAUUAAGCUCAUGGUUAUCCAAAAAAAAUUAUCUUCAUGGGGGAUGUUAGUUUGAGGGAAAUUUAUCUUUUAAAUGUGAAAAAAAAAAAAAAAAAUCUUAUUCAGGGAGGAAAUCUAAGUUGGAGUCUUAGACGUUAAGAAAGAUAAUGACAAGUAGAUGAAAGAAAUAGGCCACCUGGCAAGAUAGCGCGUCCUGGACGGGCACCGCCUGCCUAACAAGUGACAACUGCCCUUGCCCUGGUUUCCUUGUUGGACUUGACCACCAACUCUUUCUUUACCUUGUUGGACUUCUUCACACGCUCCCACGCUCCCACACGUCUUUCUCUAUUUCUCUCCUAUAAAUUGCCCCUCCCGCCGUAAGGGAUCGCCACCAUCAUUCUCUCUUCACUCUUCAACUCCACUACUGGUUCUUCCUCUUCCCCUAGGGUUCUUCUUCUACUCCCUUUUGCUAUUUUCUUACAUUUUUGUAAUGGCUCGAGUUGACACAUUCAAGGCUAUGGCCAUCGUCAUCUUCGCUGCAGUCCUCUCUAUGGCUGUUUCUACAGUGUCCGCUCAAGAUCUCUCGGAGGCUCCUGCGCCGGCGCCGGGACUGGAUACUGGAUCGGCCUAUUCGUCCGGCAUAUCUGGAGCUAUGUUGUGGUCAUCAUUGGUUAUCGCUGCUCUCGCUAUUUUCAAGCAGUGAUCCGCUUUUUUUUUUUUUAUGGGUUAUUCUUCCCAUUAUAUAUGGUUUAUAAAUGAUGAGGAUUAUUCUUCUUGAUAUGAUUGUUCCCAUUUAGUUGUUUAUUUAACGCAGAUUAAUAGAAGAGAUUAUUAUUAUUAUGUUAAUUCUUUUCAAUUAUGGAUGGAGGAGAUGGGAUUAUUCUUUCUUUGCAUUGGGAUUAUUCUUUCCGUUUAUGAGAGGAUUAAAUAAAAAAAAUUAAGUUAAUAAAUUUUAAUUUUUAAAAUUAUUGUCCUUAUUUUAAUUUUUAAAAUCAUAAAUUAAUAAAGUUAAGAUACUAAGAACUAUUUUUUAAUAUUUCUUCCCUUCUCUUCGAAAAUAUUAUUGAAGAAUUUGAUUAAAAUAGUUGUCAUAGUUUGCAUUAAGUUCAAAUUUAAUUCGAUUAAUAAAAAACCAUUUAUGAAGUAUGAGUUUACAGGUUUGGCUUAGGGUCAAUGGACAGUUGGGCUGUUUUUUCAACCCAAACCCAAUUUGAAUUCAAAUUGAUUUAAUGUUUUCAUAAUAUUUAUAAUACAUAUUAUUCAUCUUUUUUCUAUUUUUAAGAAAAAAUUUCAAAUUAUAUAAUAUUAUAUAUUUUUCAUUUUUUUUUUAGAAAAAUGUAAAUUUAUGUUUAUUUUUUAGUUACUAUCUUGAAAUUUUUUCAUAUAUAUUAAUACAAAUACAAUAUAUAUAUAUAUAAAAGGUUGUUUAAAAAAUAUUAUAGAUGGAUUUUGAAUUAUGUACCCAACUCAAUCCUGAAUCUAACCCGAUCGAUCCAGCCCGAUCGAUCCAGGUCUAACUUAAACAACUUGAAUUCAAUCCAAUCCUAAAUCUAGCCCGAUCGAUCCAAGUCUAACUUAAACAACUUGAAUAACUUGAAUUCAAUCCAAGUUUAGAAAACUGAUAUUAGAUUGAGUUUGGAUUUAAGUCUAACUUAAACAACUUGAAUUCAAUCCAAGUUUAGAAAACUGAGUUUGGGUUUAAGUCUAACUCAAACAACUUGAAUUCAAUCUGAGUUUGGAAAACUGAUAUUUGGUUGAAUUUGGGUUUAGUACCUCAAUUAGAGUUCGAGUUGUAUUAAAUUUUUUAAUUUGGGUUGGGUUUGAAUUAAUCAUCAACCUGACCAAUUUGUCCAAGUUGCAACCUGUAGUGAUGUUAUUUUCCUCGGGUAUUUUUAAAAAUUGUUUGAUGAUGAAUGAUAAAAUGGUAAAAUUGAUGAGAAAUAAUAAAGUUCUUUUUUAAAAUUUAAUUUAAUUAAUGCUUGCCCUUUAUAAGUAAUAGUUCAAUUAUUUUAACCAAUAAAAGUUCUAACAUCAUAAAUAAAUUUCAAUCUUAAAUAAAUAUUGAUGUCAAUAAUAUCACAAUGAUAAUUUUUUUUAAAUUAUUUCCACCAAUAAAAGUUUAAUUAAUGUCCAUAUAAAUGAUUUAUAAUUAAACUCCCUUAAAGGCUUCUCUAUAUUGGUGGGCAAAAGUGUCGAAAUCUACUUAAAUAAUCCCUCAUGAAUAGCUUUUACAAGAAAAUAGAAUGCUUCUAAAAGAAGCUAGAGGCACGUACACAUUUCCACAAAUAGAAAAGAGAAAGUAGAAUAGUGUGGAUUAUUCUAAAGGGUUCUUGACAAUUCUUAUAACAUAGCUUGUGUAAGGUUUUUUAAAGAAUUCUAGAUUUGUGGCAAACCACCAAGAUUCCAAAGAGUUCUCUUAAUUUCCAUAAAUAGGAGUACGUCUCAUUUGAUGAAAACACCAAGCAUAAGAGCUUCCGAAAACAUUGUAAAAAUGUCUUUGAUUGAUAAAAAGUUUUUAUUCUUCUAAAUUCUGAGUCUUGCUUCCUUUAUUUGUCUCUCUUCAAAGUCAAGUGACUAGAGAACAUGACUGACUUGACAAUUUAAAGUAUCUUAAGUUGUCUUAAUUGUUGAAUGCAAACUAAAAUUAAAAAAAAAAUAAAUAAAUCUAUGACAAGAUGAAGAGAAUAAUUGAAAAAAUUAGGAUAGGAAAUUAAAACUUAGUCGUGCAAAACCAGUUGGAAGAGUUCAUGUUCACAAGGAUAGUGACAAAGUCGAAAGAGUUCACAUUCUCAAGAAAAGUGACUGUGAAACCAAAGUUUGGUUAAUCUUGAUUUUGAUGAUAACAAAACAUAAUUUAGAACUAAUUACUACAUUUUAAGUGUAAUUAGACAAGACGACUUCCAAAGUGGUAAUCCAAAGACAAAUCAAGCCAAUGAGAAAUCAUGAAGAAGAAGACCACCUCAAAGAGAAGAGUUUUUUCAAGACCAAAGCUUCUUAAGAUAUCUUUGUAAGGUUGUUGGUGCACUAGGACUUUCAUGCAUUUCAUUAUUUAUUUAUGCACCAAAAUCAUUCAAGAGUAAUAUUGUUUUAAAUAUUUUAAGAAUUAGAUGGUUUUAUGUUUUCAACUAAAACCUUGUGUUAAAUGAUUUUCAAACUUGUGUUAAAAUGUUUUAAGUUGAAAAGGGUUGAGUGUUGAGCCAAAAAAAUGGCUUAACCGGUUCAACCGGUCGACCAAUUGUGCUCGUCCGAUCGAGGACCGGUUGAAGGAAACCAAAAAGUUUAUCUCUCUCCUAGUGGCCUUCUCUUCCUGCUCAAGGUUGAACCUCAAUCGGUUGAGGUCCGGUCGAGGUCCGGUUGAGGCCCAACGAUCACUUUCCCUAACGGCUAGUCAUCCGGUUGACCCCUAGCUCGACCGAUUGAACCCCCAACGGCUAGUAUAACUUUUUUCUUCUAUAAAAAGACUUCAAACUUAAUUGUUUUAUAAGCUAAACUUUCCCAAAUCUUUCUUGAUUAUAUUUGAGCCUUGGAAUAGUAUUUUUGAGUGCACCAUUAUUCCAAAAUUUGCAUAUCUUUAGUGCACCAUUCAAUCCUAGUUUCUCUUGUAUCAUUUGAGCUUAAAGUUCUUGUGCUAGGAUUUUUGAGAGAUCAUUUUAUUUGUAAAUCUUUGAAAGGAAUUUUCUCAAGUGAGGGGUAUCACUUGAGAGGUUGUUCAAGAGUGGGAUAACUCUUGAGAAGUGUAAAGGGUGCUUGGAGCCAAAAGUCCAAGAGGGUGAAUUGGAACCAUAAUCCAAUUGUAAAGAGAUUGGAAGCUUAGUUGAAGCUUCAAGAUAGUGGAACCCUCACUCGGUUAAGAGGUUGAGGAGAGUGGGCGUAGGCAAAUUAGUACCAAACCACUAUAAACUCUCGUGUUUGUACUCUCUCUUCCCUAACUCUUUUAAAUUAUAUGCAAUUGUGUUUAUUUUGUUUAUUAUAUAUUUGCAUAUAAUUGUCUCUUAUUUUUGCAUAGUUUAAAUUUGUGAAAAAGAGACCAUCACCCUAUUUACCUCCCUCCCCCCCUCCCUCUAGGGUGAUUACCAUAGUUUAGAUUAGCCUCAAAUUCCUAACAGUGACAACAAAAAUGUUUUUACAAAGAAUUCUAGCAUUCAAUAAUUGUAGAGGAAAUGUACAACAAUUAAACCUUGAUUUGAAGGAUUCUUGUUGCACUAAAAUUUUCUUUGAAGUGCAUCAAAAUAAUAUAUUUUAGAAAUGUUGUUGUUACUAUCGGUGCAAUACUAACAAUGUUCUUCCUAGCUAGCUUUUUUCGAGUGAACGACAUGUGUACUUGCAACAAGAUGUGUUCGGAUGGUUUUUCUGGGCACGCCUCUUUGAAGUUUAAGUUAGCAUUUUGAAGAGACAAAAAAUCGUUUUUCUAAGGUUUUUUUUUUCAUACAUGAAUUAUGAUUUUUGGUGGCUAUUUAUUAUGAUUAAGUUGCAACAUUUCAUAUGUAUCUUUACUGUUUUAAAUGCUAAUAAUUGGUUUUGUGAACAAUAGUCUUUAAGAUAAAGUCUAGUGUUUUCGUCCAUAAAUGUUUUUAACAUAACACUUCAGUAUUGUAGUAUUUAUCAAUGUUUUCAGAACCAGACCGGUCAUCGAACUGAAAAAGUUACUGGUUCACGGUUCACUGGUCACACCGGCAAUUGAACCGCAGUUAGACCGGCGGUUGAAUCGCGGUCGAACCGGUGACGUCAUUAAUAUAUAUUUUUAUAUAUUAUUAAAAUUUUAAAAAAAUUAAUAAAUAAAAAUAAUAAAUUAUAACUAAAUUUUGACAGUAUUUAUCAUGUUUGUUAAUUUUUUUUCACAAAAUUUUUUUAUCUAUAGUUGUCCAUCAACCCAAUAUUUUCAAUAAUUUCAAUAAAUUAAAAUGUCAAUAUGUAAUAAAUAAAACAAAAUUAAAAAAAUUAAAUAUAAAUUUUUUUAAAACUAAAAUGGAAGGUUCAGUCGUGGGGGGAUGAGGGGAGGAGAGAGACAGAGAGAGGAGAGCUUUCCAGGGGUGGAGGGUACUUCUAGUGGGAGGGUUCUUUACCUUUGCGGGAGAAGGGGGAGUUUUCCAGUUCGCCGCCGGGGGUGGAGUAACGGGAUUUGCGCUAGGUGCUACUGAGGUUGGGAGGGCUUUUUAGCGCACGGUGGAGGAGGUAGGGUAGGACUCCCAGCACCGGGGGUGUUGCCGACAGAUGAUGCUCUAGGCGACAAUGGAGGUAUCGUUGUCGGCCAGACGACGCUCUAGGUGACAGUGGGGGUACUAGUCACAUGGGGAAGGGGGAAGGAAAAUUAAUUGUUGGGGUAGAAGGGAACCGGUUGGUUUGUCGAUCGAAUCGUCGAUUCAAACGGUUCAAUUCCGAUUCGAUGGAUUCCUUGUCCAAUUGGCUGGACCGGCCGGUCUGGUCCGAUUUGGUCCAGAUUUUAAAACCAUGGUAUUUAUUGCUUAAACGACGCCUAGAUAAUAUUUUGGCCAUUUGAUACCAAGAUAGGGAAGGGAUUCAACCUAAAUGGAUGCAAGGGUCCCAUAAUGCCUCUCAAUUCUCUUAGCCAUAUAUGACUAGAUACCAAACGAUCGAUUAGAAAGAAUUUACUAUCGUUUUGUGGAAAAGUUUUCAAAUUUUGGUGCCAAUGGGACACGUGUCCGUCGCACAAGGUUCGAGAUGACCCAUCAUUAUGACAGUUGACAGGCAACAUGCCUUUUCAGACACCUCGAUCAACGCACCCAUUUUCAACCUACUUAAAGGCCUCUUGGCUUUUAGCCUCUGCUUCUCACAUUUGGUGUGUUUGAAUUUGAGAGUUUUGUUACUUGCUAUCCUACCGUCAACGCUGCUAAGGUUUCAUGCUGCAACUUCAUCAUUGUUGUCGAAAUAUCAUUGUUCUAUUCAACCAGGUCAGAUUCUUUUCUUGUUCUUCAUUCUUUUUUCUGCUCUUAGAUGUAUGCUUUGGACUAUUCUUGUAGAACUUUUUUGGUGUUUUGAUUGCAUGAGUAUUCUAGCGUUUCGAUGUUGCAAUUUCUAAGUUUCAACUGCGAGUUUCUAAGGGUUUUUGUUUAAAUAAGGUUUAUAAGGGCUUUUUACAACCAAAGCAUGAAUUGUUUAUCCAAUAAUUUGCCAUACGACUUUAGCAUCCCUUUUGCCAUUGAACAUAUGUGGCUUAGACACCUCCACCCUUAGUGCCUCAUUAGUUGUCAUGACUCAUGCUAACACAACAGUCUUGUAGAUGGUCAGCUCUUAUCUAACCUCCUGAUCACGAGUCUCCAUGCAUGUAGCCUCCAUCCUUGACUCCAUGCUAGCAAGCAUGCUCAUGACCUUGUCUUGGAAAGAUGUGAGCUCCUCAUGUGACACUGACUGAACUUGUAAGCCUAACACCCCCUCACGAAGGUCUUGGAUUUGCUUCCUAAGAUCUUCUAUGCCCUUCUCCAUGCCUUGCUCUAUCAAGUCCACCCAUCCCGAGUGUCUGCCAUGGCUAGCUCCACCUUGGCUAGCUUUGCCUCCAUAUUGGCUAAGGCAUCACGAAACUUAUCCUUCCUUCCCCUACAACGUACAAUAGGUUCGGUCUCCCUCCCAUGGGUUUGCUCGCUAGUCUCCUCAACGUUAAAGCCUAACAUGCUUUCUUCACUAUGCCCACUUCAUGCCACACUUUGAUAUCAACUGUCACGGACUUAGGCUUUUCCUAAGCUCACGUGUGGCACCUAGAUAAGCCAAAACUCUUGGAUGUUACUAAGUCAGCCUUGCCCACUCACUUAGCUAGCUAUGCUAAGUAUGCACACAACUUGGAAGCUAAAAGGCUCACGUAAGCAACACUUAAACAAUGAAAGUUUUAUUGCUCUCAAAUUAUGCUUACAAGGCCUUUGGAAGCUCACUUGUUUGGUGUCUUGGUCAAAUGAGGGUCUCACCUAUUUAUAGGCACCUUAGGAAGCCUCUAGAACCUUGGAUGGUUCCUUACAAAUUAAGAAUAUUUUAAAAACUCCAACAUAAAUCUAUAUACAAGGUUAUGUACAAAAUAACUCUGAAAAACUCUAGAAUACCCCACACUAUUCCAAGGUCUCCUAACCUACUAUAGAGAUGUGUGGACAUCUCUAGAAGCUUCCACACUCUUCCACCAUGUAAGUAAGUGUAGAUGGCUCCAUGAGUCUUCAGAAGCAUCCUACUCCCUUUAUAAGGUUCAAGAUAGGGUCAUUUGGGGCCGGGUGUGACAAUAUGCAUUCUUCAAGUUCAACCAUAUGAUUUAGCAUACUUCUUAAUUCUAAGAAGUAAUACAAUAAUUAAUAUUAUAAAAAUAACAACAAUAAUAGCAACACUAAAGAAGAGAACAAUAAUAAUAAGAAGAAGAGCAUAGCAACCACCACCAUCACCAAUGAUAAAGUUGGUUACAAAAUGUAGCCCGUUUCCCUUCAUUUUUGGAUAACUAAACAAUUCUUUUUCAACAAGGCGUAGAUUGCCUUUCCUAACAAGAAAGAGUCAUUGGAAUUGAUAUAAAAUAUGGCAUUAGUUAUAAGUAAUCUGAACAUAUGUUAAAAGGAAAAUUCAAAGAAUAGACUGCCAGACUUUCUUUUCAUAAUUAUCGAUUCAAAGAAUAAUUUCUCAGAGUUCAAGUCAAUCAUUAGGGAAAGGCAUAUGUUCUUGAUGUUCCUAUUCAAUCAAACCAUUGUCAAAUCAAUGAAAAGAAAGAAAUGUUCCUGCUUAGAAUGGUGGCUGCAAGCCUAUCAUUAACAACACCUCCUGUGGGGCAGUUAGAUAAAGAUCAUUAACCAUAUAAUGAGAAGAUCCAAGGAGGAAAAGAUACAAAGCUUAGACAGUGCAAAAUUGCAUCAUAUCAAUGAUCAAAGAGUAAAAAGAAAAGAAGGAAAAGAUAAACAAUUUUCAGUAGAGGAAUAUUUCCAACCGACGGUCAUAAGAAUUUAAUAGACUUUAUAUCCAUCAAAUCUAUGGAUGUUAAUAAUGAAGUUAAGAGAAACAAAAUCUCCAUCAGCUCCCUUACAAAUAUGAGGUUAGCUAUCUGAACAAGAUGUUUAGUUGUGUUUAACUAAAUGAAUCUGAAGUCACAACAAUAGGGAAAAGGAAAAAUGGGGAAGCUCAAAAUACGAAACACAAAAAAGUAUCUCAUUUAUGCCCUCGAUGACCAAGAUUCAAUUAUACGCCCCAAGCAUUUAUUAUGAGUAGUACACUCAACAAAAUGCAGGGAAAUCAUAUAUCCAAUGACAUUAAUAGCUAUAUGAAAAUCAUCAAACAGUAACAAUGAUGGAUAUGAUAGUUUAACAUCUUCAAAAAAGAACACUGGCUGAUCCAACCAGUUCAGGACAAAACAUCCAGCAUCCAUGGAUAGAAUUUUGUCUCGUAUCUACACAUACCAUUUGACCAACAUUAUGGGCAGCCUGCUGCAUGCAGGAACAUCCAUAAUUUACUCUCUUGAAAGAAAGCAAUAAGGCUUUUUCCUCCUUCAAUAGCAGAAAGACUAUUUUUUUCAUUAUUCUGCAGCAUGCCAUUUGCCAAAAAUGCUUGUUCAUACUUUGGGUCCACAAUGAAUGCAUUUAUAUCCAUUCAUGAAAGGAAUAAUCACAUUCCUCUGUCCAAAAUGCAAAAGUUUCUAAAAGGGUCAAACAAUCGUUCUCUUAAACUUGUCGUAGUUUCAUAACCAAGACCUUGCUAAGAGGCUGACCAUGCAACUCUCCAUUGCUGCUUGAUGAUUGAUAAAUAUAACUAUGUGAGUGAGAAAUUCCAAUCGAGUAUGAGGGAUCUUAACCAAAUGAACUAUUUGAGUAAAGUCAAAAGGUUAGAACAUAUAUUCCAUACAAACCAAAUCAACCAUUCGAGUAAGUCAGAAAAUUAGAACAUGGAGAAGAAUUCUUUUUCUAUUGGGAUUUGAAAUGAUAUAACCAUGUUCAAAUGCUCCAAUCUCCACUCUAUUUGAUUCUCCAAAACCACUUUUUCGAUUGUUUCGUUCCUCUUCUAGUGAUUCAUCAGAUUCAUUGGAAAAUUGAACCAAUUCAGUCCAAGAUGGCAAAGCAUUACGGAACACAACAAAAGAAGCCAAAUCAGAAAAAUAAAAAUUAAAAGAAAAAGGAAAGAAACCAACGGCAACAAAACAAGACAAGAAAACAGAAAAACAAAAGCAAUUUGACCUAUAGGGAACACAAUAUAUGGAAUAUAUUCCCAUCUCAUUCAAUUGUGCUCUUCAAAGCUAGUGGCAUCUCCAUCUCGUCAGCUUCAGGGUAAUUGUCUUCCCCGUUAGGGUUUUGAAUAUCGCCCACGGAAUGUGAAGAAUCCUCAUUUUUCUGAGAUGGGAGGAAGAAGAGCCUCCAUGCAAGAAGAAAAAUAAAAAGCAAGAACCCUAAUCUGUGUAUCUAUCUCUCUUGUUUCUUCAAAAAUUAAGAGAAACAAUGGGGACAGAUGUGAAGAAUCCUCGUUUUGCCGCAAGCAUUUUAGAGAGAUCAGAAAAAGAAAAGCAUCCAUAUAAGAAGAAAAAUGAAAAGGGAUAACCCAGAAAAAUGAAAACGAAGAACCCUAAUUGUGUAUCUAUCUCUCUUGUUUCUUCAAAAAUUAAGAGAAACAUUGGAGACAGACCCAUUAGGGUUUUCAAGAUCGCCUAUGGAAUUUGUCCACAUGCGAAGAAUCCUCGUUCCGCCGCAAGCAUUUUAGAGAGAUCAGAUGAAGAAAAGCAUCCAUAUAAGAAGAAAAAUGAAAAGGAAGAACCCAGAAAAAUAAAAAGAAAGAACCCUAAUUGUGUAUCUAUCUCUCUUGUUUCUUCAAAAUUAAGAGAAACAUCGGAGACAGACCCAUUAGGGUUCUGAAGAUCGCCUAUGGAAUUUAUCCACAUGCGAAGAUUCCUUGUUUUGCCGCAAGCAUUUUAGAGAGAUCGGAUGAAGAAAAACAUCCAUAUAAGAAGAAAAAUAAAAAGGAAGAACCAUAAUCUGUAUAUCUAUCUCUCUUGUUUCUUCAAAAAUUGAAAGAAAUAUUGGAGACAGAUCAAGAGCUCUCAAGAAUAACCCAACGAGCAAGAUGCCACUUUUUAAAUACCCGUUGCCGUACAAAAUCCAACGGCUAGUUUUUUGGAUUUUCUCAAAUCUUGAAAAUAAUUAGGGCUGAAACUUGAAAGACGUUCUCGUUGGUUUUCUUUAAUUCGGUGCAUUCUACUAAUUAAAUCGGAUGCUCACGUAAAAUAUUGGCAAUUUAUUGUUGAUUUUUUUGUCAUUUUUUUUUUCAAGUUUUAAACAAAAAUUAAUUUGAUAAGAAAAAUUAUAAAUAAAAAAAAUUCAUCAAUUUUAAUAAUUUAAAUAAAUUAACAACAAAUUUUGGUAAUUUAUGUGAAAAUGCACUUAUUUAAAAAUUAAUAAUUUUAUUGAUAAGUUUUAUUUUUUAAAAUAAAUAAAUAUAAAUGUAUGGAAAUGAAUAGAGAGUUUUGGGGCAAAAUGGCUUCUUCAUAAACUUAAUAUUAAAAGUGGGUUUCUUCCAAAACUAAUGUUCAAAAUAGCCCCCAUCAAUCUACAUAACCAUAAAAACCAUUUUUUUUUUCUUUACUAUUUUUGUUUACUUUCCCAAUUUCUCAUCCCGUUCUGUGUUCUCUGUGUAAUUUUUUUCUUCAAAACCCUAACCCCACCAGUGGGCCACUGUGAGAGAGACAUUGUUGGAGCUACAAAGCAUCAAGGUUGAGGUUGGUCCCAAUAUUCUUUUUGUCUUGUUUUAUAUAAAGUUUUGACACUUUCCCAUUUUUUUUCCCCAUCUCAGAAUCUCGGUUUUUUUUUUCCAUUGCUUUUGGUUUUCUCUUUUGCUUACGUCCUUCACGGCUAUUUUAGCAUAAAUGGUUUGUUAUUAUCCAAAGAUUGAAGUCCUUAAGAUGCAAACGUUUGUCGAAGUUUAUGGGAAAAAUGAAAUUUUUUUGGGAAACCGUGAUUCUAAUAUAUAGGUUAUGUAAGAUAAAAAGGACAAAUCCUUCGUAGAAGUAUGAGUCCAUAUCACCCGAGGUUUGUUUUACCACCAACUAAAAUAAAUGUCUGGAUGUUGAAGGAAAAUAAUGGGUAAAUAUUAGUACUUAGAUUCUUGUUUUGUCAGUAUUGUGAGAAGAAUUGACAGGUUGAAUACCAAUCUUUCCUUUCUUUAGCUACCAUAGAAGGAAACUAGGAAUAUUGAAGCUGAGAAGAUAAAGUGUCUAUUGUCAAAAGAACUCAUAAGUGGAGGCAUUUACUAGUGUCAUUUUCUACACCUAAUUCGGCUCGAAUUAGUGAAGUGAACUACUUGGGACCACAGCUAUGUGCCCUUGGACACGUCUAGAUGCUCAGGUAGGGUGUAAUGCCAAGGAAUAUAAAAAAAUGCCAGGAAAGCCUUUUUAUCAUUAUACUAGAAUUUAGAAUCACAAUCUACAUGCUAUCUACAUUCUGCACUGCAAGAAUAACAAUAAGGAAGGUUAUCAAAUAUGAUUUUCAGGAUCUAAUUUUUAAAAUAACACCAAAUAGAAGAUCAAAGUUAGGCUUUUAGGUGGCUGACAUCCAAUUCUGUUCGUAUCAGUUGUUAUAAUUGAGUGUAGCACGACAGAACGGGUAUGGGGCCUUAAGAUUGAAUAAGCAAUGUCACAAAGAAAAUAGAAUCAAAAGGAAUGGAGAGCCUUACCUGCCAAGUCAUGGAAGUUAUUACAAGCAUUACAAUUAUGACUCAACUUCUGACCAGACUAAAUAAAAUAACCAGAUCCAAUUCCACACUAAUUGGGUCAGCUUGAAGGUUACCUACUUGAUAUUCUCCACUUAUGGGAGUAAAUUGUAUUAUUCAUUCUACUAUGGUAACAAAAUUUUUAAUUGUAUGUUCCAUAUAUAAAACAAUAUAAUAACCUUAGGAUAUGAUUUUUAUUUAUGAGAUAUUGAAAAUUAUUUUUUUUACAAGGUUCUUUAAAAAAUCUCAAUUUUUUUGAAAAUAACAUAUUUAACAUAUAUUUAUUUUUAAAAAUAUAUUUAACAAAUAGUUUUUAGUUGUAAAAAUAUUAAUAUAUUUAAUAGAUAUUUAUUUUAAAAUUUAAUUUUUAAUAUAAAAAUAUUAAUUUAAUUUUAUCAAUAAAAUAUUAAAAGUUAAUCUCAUCCUAAUUAUCAAAUUAGAAAAAUAAACUAAACGUGUUUGUAACCCAAACACAUGUAAAAAAUUUUAUUGAACCAAAAAAUAAAAUAAAAUAAAAUACGCCAAAUUAAGUAAUAAUAGACAUAGUAGUAAGCUCAACAGUUUCUCAACAUCCAAACAAGAGAAUUACCAUUAGAUGAUUUUCUAAAAAUAUUUUAUAAAUUUUUGUAUUGUAUAUAAGUAUGUUGUAAUUUUAUGAAUAAUAAAUUGAGCAAAUUGUAUUUCAUAUUUCAAUUCUCGAACAUAAAUUUGUUUUUAAAAACAAUUUUUCAAAGUGUUUUUUGGGCAUUUGCUCCAUCUAUUAAAGGAUUUAUUCACUGUCGACCAAUUCUUAGUAUUGAUGGGACACAUUUGUAUAGAAAAUAUAAAGGGACUUUGCUAAUUGCUAUGGGAUAUGAUAGUAGUAACCAAUUGUUCCCACUUGCCUUUGCCAUUACAGAAAGAAAGAAUAUAGAUAGUUGGAGUUGGUUUUUGGCAUAUAUCAAAGUUAGAGUAACACAAAGGAAAGGCUUGUGUCUAAUCUUUGAUCGUCAUCCUGACAUUAUAAUUGCUGUGAAUGAAACAUAUUCGAGAUGGACUAAGCCAGAUGCUUGUUAUAGAUUUUGUAUGCAUCAUUUAGGACGUAACUUCAACACAAAGUUCAAAAAUAAGACUUUAAAGGAUCUCAUGUGUAGGGUUGCUAUGGAGAGUAAAGUUAAAAAUUUUAUUUAUCACAUUGAUACAAUUGGUCAGAUAAAUGUUGAUGCUAGAAAUUGGUUAGAGCAUAUUCCUCUUGAAAAAUGGGCACUCUCACAUGAUGGUGGGCAGAGAUAUGAGAUUAUGACAAUUAACAUGUUUGAAGUUUUUAAUGGUGUCCUUAAGGGUGCUCGUAACUUACUAAUAACAGCUUUAGUCUAGUUAACUUUCUAUCGGGUUAACAGUUACUUCAUAGCCAGGCGAGAGCAUGGUGCUAGUCGACUCGCUUCAAGUGAAGAAUUCAUUCCAUAUAUUGAAGCCAAGAUGAAGGCUAAAGUUGUUAAGGUAGGUUCAGAUGAAGUUGUUUUGUAUGAUCAUGUGGUGAGACGUUUUCAUGUUAAAACUAGACACUCUGUUGGAAGCAGUAAUAGGAAACCUCGCACAUAUCAUGUUACCCUUCAAACGGGGUCUUGCACAUGUAACAAAACACUUUUGUUAAGAUUCCCAUGUUCGCACAUUUUUGCCGCUUGUCAUUGUCGAGAAAUUGAUUUUUGAAAAUUUGUACAAGGUUAUUACACCACACGUGCUUACCUAUCAACAUGGGUUUCCUUGUUUUAUCCCAUAUUUGAUGAGUUGAAGUGGCCUCAAUAUAAUAAACCGAUAAUUGUACCUUCAGACUCGAUGAAAUGACUAACUUCUGGUCGACCGAAAUCAAGUCAUUUGCAUAAUGAGAUGGAUGCAAGGGAAACUAGAACUCCACAAACAUGUGGACUUUGCAAGCAAUUGGGUCACAAUCGACGUUCUUGUCCUAAUAGAGAAACCAAUGAUAGGAAGAGUUGAUGUAUUUCAUGAACAUCAUUGUACUAUUUUUUUUUUUUUUAAUUUACUAGUAUUGACCUUAAUCAUUUUAAGAUAUACGUAGAAACUAUCUUAUUGAACAUCUUAUUGACGUUUUUUUUGUUUGAAAUUGUUAUUUUUUUGUCAAUUCAUUCAUAUUUUGCUUAUGUCAGGUUACAUGAAAAAAAACUUAAUCUCUAUUGUUUAAGGGAGAUGCUGCUAAAAUUUUUAAAAUUUUAAUCAUGAAAUUCAUAUUGUUAGAAAUUGUUGUUUUUUUGUCAAUUCAUUCAUAUUUUGCUUAUAUCAGGUUACAUUGAAAAAUUUUGAAUCUCUACUGUUUAGGGGAAAUGCUGCUCAAAUUUUUACAAUUUUAAUCAUGAAAUUUAUGUUGUUAGAUAUUGUUGUUUCUUGUCAAUUCAUUCAUAUUUUUCUUAUAUCAUGUAUUGAUGUAUGUGCAAACAUGGAUACUCCGUUGUUUCCUGCCCGUCCUGACCCUGAGGAUACAUCUAUGCUUACUCUUCAGCAUCGACAUUGAUCAUUCACCAUUCGUGUUGAUCCAGAUAUGGGUCAUGUUUUGACUUGUUGACACAGGUUUCAUCGAGAGUGGGUUUUGGAUGAUCGUGUUUGGCCAUACAUUAUACAGUCAGGAUUUUAUGUCUUUCAUCGAGUAGGUCAUGUUAAGGUUGAUUGACCUUUGAUUACUGCACUGGUAUAGAGAUGGCGCUCAGAGACGCACACAUUCCACAUGCUAGUUGGUGAGAUGACCAUCACAUUGCAGGACGUAGUCAUCUUAUUUGGAUUACAUGUACAUGGUCAUCCUGUCACUGGUUCUACAGAUAUUGAUUGGCAUGCACUUUGUGAAGAGUUAUUAGGUGUUCAACCGACAAAGAUUAAUAUUUGUGGAACAUCCCUUAGAGUUCGUUUUAUUACUACCCAUUUCUCCUACUUACCACCAAGGGUUGUAGAUGAAGUCACAUUACAGCGCCAUGCUAGAGCAUAUCUUUUAUUGUUAUUUGGUGGUUCAUUAUUUCCAGAUAAGAAUGGAACCUACAUCCAAUUAGCAAUUCUACCCAUAUUAAGAGAUUUUGGUGAGACUGCACAAUAUAGUUGGGGGAGUGCAACACUAACACAUCUUUAUCGAGAGUUUUGUCGAACUAGCUUAGAUAGUGCAAAUUAUAUAUGUUUACUGGAUAUUUUUUGAGACUUUGAUUAAACUACUAAAAUUUACAUUUUGUCGUAGACUUUUUCUAAUUAAUUUCAUUAACCAAUUUUGUCAAAAAAUCUAUUAUUUCGAUAAAGAUAAAUUUGUCAUAAUACAAAUAAAUUAAUAUCUUAAAAAACAACAAAUUAAAUAUCUUAAAUUAAUAAAUUAUACAAUUUUAUAUAUUAUUUAUAUGUUAUAUAAAUUUAUUAUUUUAAAAUUAUUAAUUUAUUAAUAAAUAAAAUAUUCAUUUGUAAUAUAUUCUAUUUAUCAAUUUAUGUUUGUUGAAGUAAUACUAGAUUAUUAAGUUUAAAUAUAAAUAAUUUAUUAUUAAAGUAUAUAUUUUUAAUUUCAAUAAUAAAUUAUAAUUUAAUAGUUUUUAAUUAAAUUUGAAAGUAAAAAAAAAUUAUAAUUGAAAUCUCAAUUACAGUUUAAAAAUAUACUAUUAUUUCGAUAAAGAUAACUUAAAAACAACAAAUUAAAUAUCUUAAAUUAAUAAAUUAUACAAUUUUAUAUAUUAUUUAUAUGUUAUAUAAAUUUUUUAUUUUAAGAUUAUUAAUUUAUUAAUAAAUAAAAUAUUCAUUUAUAAUAUCUUCUAUUUAUCAAUUUAUGUUUGUUGAAUUAAUACUAGAUUCUUAAGUUUAAAUAUAAAUAAUAUAUUAUUUAAGUAUAUUUUUUAAAUUUCAAUCAUAAAUUGUAAUUUAAUAAUUUUUAAUUAAAUUUUAAAUUUUAAAAAAUAAAAUAAAACAUCAGUUGCCAAAUGCGACUUUAGUUAAAAAAUGAAGUCUCAAUUGCCAAUUGAGGCUUCAGUUUAAAAAUGAAGUCUCAGUUGGCAAUUGCGACUUUAGUUAAAAAAUAAAGUUUCAGUUGCUAAUUGAGGCUUCAGUUUAAAAAUAAAGUCUCGGUUGGUAACUGUAACUUUAGUUCAAAAAUAAAGGUUUAGUUGAGAACUGCAGUUUAAUUCAAAAACUAAAACCUCAAUUGGCAAUUGCACCUUCAGUUCAAAAAUAGUCUUAGUUGUCAAUUGAGGUUUUAACUAAAAUAAUGAAAAAAAAAAUUAUGACAUGAUGCAUACAUGACACCAAAGAAACCAAUUUGAACAUAAGUUUCAAAAAGUGGUUAGAUAUUAUAUUUUUCUUUUUAAUAAAUGGAUCAUUUUGACCCAAAACUCAGGAAUUGAAGAUAACGUACUAAGAAAGGUAGGUAUUUUAUAUGCAUGCAUUAAUAAGAGCUUGAAUAACUUUGAUUAAUUUAAAUUUAUUUAUCUUCAAGACAUUAAAUACAUAAUUUUAAUUUUAAUUUUUUAAUAUGGAAAUUUUUGGAAGGAAAAAUUAAGAUAUUUUAUAAAUGUAAAGUGUUUUAAAUAUAGAAAUAUAAUAUGUUUUAGAUGGUAUAAUCCAAUAAAAUAAAUUGUUAAUCCUUAUUUUGGUAUCAAGUAUAUACUAUUAUCUUUUUUAUGUAUACAUAUUAUAUUAUUAUCCAAUACUUAUCAAAUUUCAUCAAAUGAUAAUUUUUUAGAAUUCUCUUCUAAUAUUUUUUAUAUUUUUAUAAAAUUCAAUUAAUAAUAUUUGACUAUGGUAUUAGUGGGUACCUAUCAAAAUUUUCAUCUCUAACAUAGAAGAUAUACAACAGAAAGAAUAAAAUUAAAAUAUAAAUAAAUUAGAUUAAAAUACAAGCUCUAGCACUGCCCAUGUGUGAGCUGACAAGUGCAACGCAUUAUGUCAUGGACUUAACAUAGACUAAAAGAAAAGAAAGGAAACCGACUCAAUGAUCCCAAUAAUAUUUGUCCACGUAGAUAUAUUUGAUUGGAGGUUUUGACAGGUACUCAGUACUCUUCCGGAACCCUUAAUUUAUUUUUAUAUUUGAAAAGAAAAGCAGUUGUAAGUUUGUAACUUGGUUCACCAAGUUAGGGUUUGCAUGAGAUGGUACAAAAAAAUGGGUAACCAAUAGGCAACAUGCAUGUGGCCAAUGCGAGAGCCCAGAGGAAUGGGUCAACCUCUUGUCAGCUCUGAAAAUGACAAAUAUAAUAUAAAUAAAUAAAUAAAAAUAGAAGGGGAGGAGAUCAAAAUUGACUCCGCUACAACUCUACUUUACCCACAGGCGCAGCAGUUCUCUGUCCCCUUGACAAACUCCUUCAGAGUCUGUGAAUUGAAUUGGAUUUGACGAAAUGUUUGUGAGUAGGCCUGUGGUGCACCCAGUGGAAGCGCCACCGCUGAGAGAGGGAGGCAACAAUGCUCCCAGAGUGAGGAUGAAGGACGUUCAAGGCAUGGCUGGCACGCCUGGUGGCCUUGUUCUUCGCCUCUUCCAAUUCCUUUCCGCCGUCGUUUCCCUCUGCGUUAUGGUUACCAUCUCUGAUUUCUACUCCGUUACAGCUUUUUGGUGUGAUUUUCUCGUCCGUUUUCCUUUUAAAUAUGUAAUUACUUUGGAGUUGAAUGUUGAUCUCCUGUAGAGAAAAAUUCUGUUUGGUAAAGGGUAAUGAUCCAUAACGCUAGUCUAAUUCUGUUAUAAUCAUGAACUCGGUGUAAAGCCCCCCAUCAGACUUGUAAGAAAGGUGAAAUGAUCCUAUUUGUGAGAAGAUGAAACGUGAAAAUUUGGUGUCUUUCCCCUUAUUGUGUUGUCUUGGUAAUUGCCCAGAUGGGGUUUACCCAGAAAGAGAAAUUGAUUGGUGGUAAUUGUGAGGGUUGAUGAUAUGAUCUAUGAAGCUGAUACCAUGAGCGCUCACUAAGUGAACAGAGUGAACCCUUUCUCUGGGUGUAUUUUGCAUUUGCUGCUAAAAUUUGAAUACUCCUGUUGCAAGCUGUAGCAUGGAUGUAUAUUGAUUCUGUAAAUUACUCUUCUAUAGGUUAAAAAGAAGACUCCACCAUGUCAAACUAGCUUUGUUGUUCUAAGUAGUGAUGUGAAUUGAAUUCAUUCCAUCCUACUACACUUUCCUAAUCUGCUCCAUGUUAUGGAUAACAUUAGGUGGUAAAGUGAAGUCAAAUUGUAGGUGGGUGUUGUAUAAAAUAAUGACCAGUUAAACCGGUAUCUGGAUGAGGUGGAUUUGUGGAGCUGAAUAUAUUAUUGAAUUAGUUUCCUUAUGCUUUUGUUUCCAUUUCGUUAUUGGCUAUUGGAAAUGAUUGUAUAUUCUCAUGCUAGAAUACGCUUUGUCAAAUUGUUGUCCCACCUACAAUAAUCAUACAAUAGGUGAUGAGGAUCAAGGCAUUCUCACAGUUAAUGUAAUUUAGUAUAAGUAUGAAGAAACGUCAAUCCAGUCUCUGUCUGAACCUCUAUCCUCUUCCUUAUACUAACUCAAACUUCAGCUUCAUCGCAUGGAGUGCUGAUUAGAUCAAAAGGAUUUGUUGGCUCAACCAUAGGGCAGCUAGUUGGUUCAACUGUGAAAUCUGGUUCCACCAGAGUGGAUUUGAUCCUUUUGUUUCAUGAAAAAGCCCCAUGACUAAUUAUUUUUCAAUCAUGUAUGUUAUAUACUGCCAAAAGAGUUUCACUACAGUCCUGAUGAAGUGGUGCAAUCUGAUGUCUGGUUUUCAAUUUAGAUUCAAUUUGCCGCCUUUGCAAUUAUUUGUGAACAAAGAUAACAUACAACUUUUGUUUUUUUUUCUGUGUUAGCUAUCUUGUGGUGGCUGUCAGCUUGCAAAGUUUGUGGAGCCUGUCACUAGCCAUUAUGGAUAUAUAUGCCCUUUUAGUGAGACGAAGCUUGCGGAAUUCUGGAAUUAUCAGUGUGUUCACUGUUGGUGAUGGGGUAAGAGUGUUUAAAUGGUCAAUUCAAGCAAAAAUUGCAUGUUUAUGGCUUAGUUGGACCUGUUCCUCAAACCUGGUUAAACAACAGGAGACAAAUUUAUGGUAUGUUUCCCAUUGUUACUCUUUCCAUGAGUUAAAAGGCAACUGUUGGGUGGAAUAGAAAAAUCUUGUGUUUCCAAGUGAGAAAGUGCAGUUUGGAGUCUUAAAAGAGGUUAAUUGUUACAAAACUCCAGGAAGUUGUAUACCAUAUCCAACUUAUCCCUCCCAGGAUGCUUGGUGGGAUCAAUAUUGAUUAAUGACCUUACAGGUCAUUUUCAAUCCUUAUAGACACUUUUUGUGUGGUUUCCCUGACCAAUGCUGUGUCAUACCAGGCAAAUUCAAUCCUGUGCGUGAAAGAUUUUGGUUUGAAUUAUUGAUGUUAAUCUGCAAUUUUUAUUUUCAUUUCUAGCUACCCAAAAUUUCAUGAUUUAGAAACGGGAAACUGUCUAUUAGGAAUGCAUGUGAAUUAUGUUGCCUCUAACCUGGCCUGGUUGAGUCUACUGAGCAUUUCUUACUACAUUGUACUCCCAACAUUCUCUUUUCUUCUUACUUUUCUUUUCAUUUCCAGACUUUUGGUUUAAUUCCAUUAUUGCAUCUGACUAAGUUAUUGGUUGACUAGAUUCAGUUCACUGAUUUGAACUGCUCAAGUGGAGUUCCAUUGGUUUCAAAUUCAAGAUCAUUGAUUGACAUAAAACUCUUAACAACAUUCCCUUACUCCUAACAGGGGAUGGCUUUCAUCAGCUGUUGUCUCUUUGCAUUCCCCUUCUCUCUCCUUUGUUUUGCUGGGAAAUGUUUCUUCUAGAAAAUCCAGGGACCUAUAUUUCUGUUUAAGGAAAGAAGGCCCUUAUCUUCUAGGAUUUGGAAAUGAAAAUUGUAUUAAAAGUUCAUAGAAAUCAUAUACAACGAGUGCUUAUUUUUCAGUAGAUAUUGCAAACUAUCUGAAUGAUUACUUUCUGACAUUUUAUGCCUAUGCAAGCCUUUAGGAGUAUCCCUGUUUCUAUUCUGUUAAAAUCUGUAAGGACCACAACUACAAAAUAUCUUUUAAAAUGUUGCCAUGUUAUUUCAGAAAUUGAUUUAGUUCUCAUCUCAGCUUACAGAUAUGAGCAAUAUUCUGCUGCAGAUCACUUCCACGCUUACAUUUUCUGCUGCAUGUGCAUCUGCUGGGAUCACCGUCCUCAUUGAAAAUGAUAUGGACAGGUGUGCCAUGAACCCCUGCACAAGGUUUGAGACUGCUACAGCUAUGGCUUUCAUCAGCUGGUUUGCUGUUUCACCAUCCUUUUUCUUGAACUUUUGGUCACUGGCUUCCCGAUAAAAGAACUCAGAACAGAGAAUCAACCAUCAAGUACAUUUUCUUUUGAUAUCUAUACCACCUGCUUUCUUCUAUAACACAACAAACAUUGGAGAUUUGCUAGCUCCUACUUUGUAUAUAAGCUAAUUUUUCAUAAAAAAAAAAUGGUGAGGUAGUAGGUACUCAUUUGUGGGUGCUAUAAUCUGUGCUGGCAAUAUUAAAUCUCAAGAAUAUGGAGGAGAUUAUUUGCAUGAUGACAUGACCACCCUCAAGUUCACAAUCAGUUACUAGUCUGUUCUGCGUGUAACGUCUUGGAUGUAUGCUUACAACAUAUUCCCACUCCUGUACAGAUGAUUUCUAAGUGGAGAUGCACUUUCUUUUCUUCCUAACUUUUGUUUGAAUAUCUUGUGCUAUUAUUUUGUCUAUAUUAUAUCUGAUGAAAUCCUCCACAUUAUUUUAGGAAGUUCAACAACUUUAAGGCUUUGGAUUGUUUGUAAGAAAAACUUGAGUAAAUGUAUUUGUAGUCAUCAAUUCUUAUGGUAGCUUAAACAGUUUCUACAGCAUAGAACCUUAAUCAUGUGGUACCACUCCAUAACUCUUCUUCACUAGAAAGUCUCUGCAGAUUUAUCUGUAAUAAUCUUUUUAUUUAAAUGUAUGAUCCUAUAUGUUCUAUUGUUGUAGUUCCCUAGGCAUUGACUAUUCCCACGAAAUUGAGGUCUAAGUGGGAAGUUCAGUAACAUGAGAAAUGGGCAGCCUGGCAGCCGUUAAAACUUUCAUUUGCUUAGAUGAUAUUUUAAUCAUUUGAGGCAUGAAGUACAUGUUCUUCGGUUUUAUUGUCUUCUGUCCCUGUCUGUUUUGAUCUCAAUGCCAUGGAAACCCCAUUUUUAUAGCCCAUGAUAACAUUUUCAAUGUAUGCACUUUCUUUUGAUGGAAUAGUGAAUGAUAUGGAUGGGGAAACAUAAUGCAGGUCUUCAAAAGUGUUCCAAGUUCUGUAAGAAUUGACAUAAGUAACAAACCAGAAAAUUUCUCUAUAAAUUGACCCAAUACAAGGAAUGAAACAUUCUGUAAUCUGUGAAUUACCACUGUUGUUUGUGUUGUCAUUUUCCUUUGCUUUCUACCUGUUCUCUGGCGUUUCUGUUAGCACUUUCUUGGUUCCCAACCAUUGCUUUCAUGCAAUCCUUGUGACUAUUUGAAUGGUGUGAUAUCACUUGACUUUUUACCCACUCUGGACCUCUAUUAUUUUUGUUUGUGGACUAUGCAAUACCUUGAGAUGCCAUAGGCUCCAACUAUCAUGUCUUUAGCAUUGAAAAUAUAUUUGGUUUCUUUUUUCACUGUUCUGUCUUAUGAAUAUCUCACUUUCUGGUAUGACUUUCUGAAGAAAACACAAAAACAAAUAGUUGUUGCAAAAGGAAAGUGAAAUCUGGAGUGAUGAUACACUUUUGAAUGUAUCAAAAUAUUAUGAAAUUUAGAAUGUAUUAUCUGCUAAUAUGACAACAUGGGACAUCCCGUAUUGAUAGAAAUUUUGAUGGAUGUAAGCUUCUUAAUGUUUUUUCCAAAUGUCAGGGGCGUUUACUUGAUGGGGUUAUCAUGAAUGGAUGGGUGGGACCCAAGUAACAUUGGGGAUUGAAAAAAAAAUAAAAGGAAGAAAAACAACCAUAGUCAUCCUGCAAAUAACUGUGCAUUAAUUGAGAAAUGAUGAGGUUUCCUCAAGUGGAGGAAUGCUGUUUCAAGAGAUAGAUGACAAGAUCAGCACCCAUAACCAACCCAUGAAUUUCAUGCUCCCAUACACUUCUCCCAAGUCCCACCACAUCCCUCUCUGGUCUCUGGGUCAGCACUAAAUUCCCAUUUUCCGUCUUCCAGAGAGAUGAGAUGAAUGAUGAGGAUGGGCUUCUGAUCACGAGGACUGUGCUUUAGUCGUUAUGGGAUAAAAUAAUUGGAGGCAAAAAAUAACCGCCUCUGGAUCCCUCCUAACAUUAUCCUACAUGGUAACGUCCAUGUUGGUACGUCUGUUCUCCAUUAUCUUGCAAGAAGUCUCUUCUCAUGCUAACCAUGCAGCUCACCCUCCUGCCAUUUCACAUCCCUUAAACUAUUUAUAAUUACUUCACAGCUCUCCCCUCUGUCUAUCUUUCAAACGUUUUCUGUUUUGGAAAAUGGCUAAGGAAGAUGGUGAUGAGACAAGGCUGUAUCAGUGUGUGAGGAAGUAUGAAUUAAUGGUAAAACAGGUGAUUCCAUGCCUCUUGCAUCAAAUAUGCUACACCACACUUGAUAUGCUUCUACAUUUUAUUUUGAUUUUCCUUUCUUCUAGUUUUAAAGAAGUGAUACGUUAAAUGACAUGAAAAUAUGACAUAUAGUCAUAACCAAUGGUUUUGGUUGAAAAAGGUAAAACACCACGCUAAAUGAGUGGGGUGGCGAUGGGCUGAUUAGAAUUGUGGACAUUCUGUAUUUUCAGUUUGAUGAGCUGAUUGACAUGAUGAACUCUAAAAUAACAAAACUGCCAAAGAGGCGGAAGGUGUCCUCUGUGAGUUCUUCUAAACAACCAACCUUUUCUUCAAAAUGAUGUGUGUGUUGUAUAUAGCAUCAUGUUUCUUUCUUAUGUGAUAAUCCAUCCUGAUGAUGUACAUAUAUUUUUAAACCUUUGUAGAGUACAGCAGUCCCUGCUGCUUCCGCAACUCAACCUGACAGCAAUGAAGCAUUGGCGCAGACCAUCACCAGAUUUCUCCAUGAGUUGAGCCCUAACCCCACUGAUCCUAAUUGCUCAGCAAACACCCAUGAUAGUGAUCCCCGGUAAUUCUCCUCCCUUGAAUGUAACUAUUAACUGUCGUUAACAUGACAGGGGAAAAUUGUUGUCAACUUCUAACUGAUUAUUGUACGUUUAUGGCCUAAAGACUGAUGAUAAGUGUGAACGAAUUACAGUAGUUAUAGACGGCUUGGACCUUGAAAAUUUUAAUAUUUUCUUCUUAAGAAAAAUGUCGUAAAUUGUUUGGUCAAUUUAUAAUCGUCAUUAGCCAGUACUAAUCCUGAAGUUAUAAGCAACGUACGUUUAUUGGAUAUGAGCUGGAUCAACAUGUCCGUUAAUCAGGUCGGAACUCAAAUUUAAGCCUAAAACAUUUAAUCCAAGUACAACACGACCCACUAAAACAUUGAAUUAGAGUCCAAAUGAUUUCGAAUAGGAACACUCUCCAAAUACACUUUUAAGCAGGGUUGGGCAAGGCCUGCCCUAUUGAUCUGCAGCUAUAGAUUUCAGGUUAAAAAAGCAAGUGAGAAUAAACUAUAGGGAGCUUCAUUUCUGUAAAACACACAUUUUCCAGCUCUAAAUUCAUGGAGGUUGAAAGAUGACUGAUUUCUUGAUUGAAAAAAAAAAGGAGAAAGGAAUUUGCUUUCUUGGAGGGAAAUAGAGUAAAGAGAAACUAUGUGCAAAACAACCGCCAUUGCCGAUACAUGAACUCCUUUUAUAGCUAAGAAUUGGUGACAAAUAAUUGUAAAGAGUAAUAAAAGUUCGGGAGUACGUGUAUCUUGUCCGAGAAAAAACCAUUUUUAUGGCAAAAUUGACCAGGAUUGACAAGCUCAGUCGGUGAAAAUUGAGCUCAGGAAGUAUUUGUCCCUGAGGAAAAAAAAGGCCAUUUCGUUCAAGAAUGGAGAGCAAUAACACCAGUUGACCAUGUGAAGGGGAAGCUUGUAUGCAGAACUCUCUUGAACCAGACACCGAAUUUUGAUUAUCAGUUAAAUCUAUUGUAAGCUGCACUUCAACUUCUCAGCUUCAAGCUCUUGUUUUAAAGAUUCCACCCGCUCUAGCAAGGCCAUGUUUUCCUGGAAAUGUUAGGAAUAGUAAGCCAACUAACCUGGAUUCAAAAUUGAACAUGACUACCAGAUUGUCACUCAGAAAUAUUCAGUAGAAAAGAAACAUUGUAUUUUAAAGGCAAAUCAACAAUUGCUCCUGUUAACUGCAAAUGUUUGCUAAGCUCUGUUUAUCUGAAUCAUUUUAUGAGAGACUGGCUCUCCUUAUGGUUAUUUGCAUAAUAGAAAUGAAUCAUCCUAACAUAAUAGUAUAAUACAAUAAAAACCAGGCAGAAAAAAGCCUAUGAGAAAUGAAUCAUUGGAGAGAGGUUUAAGACAGUCACCUUUUGCAGCAUUGCCAAUUUCUGGUUUGUGCUAGCAGCAUCCUCUACCUUCUUCUCAGAGGAUUCCUUAACCUGUCAAGGGAAAGCAUGCUCAUUCAAUCCUCAAGAGAAGCAAUCCAAUUUCACCACUUACAGCCUUUGUAAGGGGUCAAGUAAAUCCAUCAUUCUAUUAUAUUUCACUGCUUUAUAAGAGUAAAAGAUAGAAGAAAAGGGGGAAGCUAUCAGUUUUCAACAGGCCAAUUUUUUCUUAAAACUCCACCUGCAUAGGAGUUCCAAACACAACUGAGUAGUUACCAACCACUCCAGUACCUGAAACCUCACGUAUGUUGGCAAAGCCAUCUAUACUGCAGAUCUAUGUUCCAUGGUUUCAGAUGCAGAUGUUGGCUGUGGAAAUUUGUCCAGGUGUUUGAUCCUACAUGCUUCCAAUUUUAGGAUACAGGAACUCGACCAAAAAGGAUCUUAAUAGUAGUUGCAAGUACUUGGAUAUGACAAAACAAAAGGGAAAAAGAUUAAAACAACAAAGAUUCUAGACAAAAAAAUCAGCAUCUUUUCUCUCUUAUUACUACUAUCUUUUUGCUCUCAUCCCUAAAUAUUCUUUUAAAAAAUUACUUUCCAGUAAACUCUCUGUUUCUACUUAAGAAAGUUAAAGGUUAAGAAAUUAAUUAAAAUCAAACAGUCAUAUAUGAAGCAAAAACAGGAGUUCAACAAGGAUUCUAUAGCCACACAGCCAUACCCAUGUCAUGUUGUGUCGAUGUGAAUUCAAGACUCUGAGUAUCAUAGCUGCAGAUUCACCAGAUCUCUGAGCAUUAAUCUAUUUAACAAUGUCGUAAGCAGCCAUUUGCUAGUCCUAGGAGAACAUCUGACAAACUUUCUAAAACUUCCUCUAAGCAGUAGUGCUAAACCCUUCCUAUACCAUCUUUUUUAGCUUCAACUCCAAAUGCAUUAGUUUUAGCAUAAACACAUGAAAAAUAAAUUAUACAUCAUAUUGAGAUAAUACCUUAAAAUAAUACCCACAUUAGAUGAAACAACACAUUCAUUUACAGGAAAUCUCAACAACUUUUCAAACCAGGACUUAUACAAACAGGAACAUAUCAAGUGCCGAAUAGUAGGCACCAAUGCCACAGAAAUCAAUAAAGUAGUCAACAGAAACCACUGAUUACUUCUAUCAUACAACCCAGUGACUCUAGCCAUCAAAGAAAAAAAAAAAAGCUGCAUAACAAUAGAAUAGAAUAGUCAAAAGUGAUAGAAGUAUAUUUCAUGAAAAUGAUACAAGGACCGGGAUAGAAGCAUCACUGUUAAAGUUAAAUCCUACAAGUUAAUCCAUGGUAUCCUAGAGUUACAAAAUCCUGUAAAGUAAGAUGGAGAAAAAAUUAAAAAGAGAAAGAAAAAACGAAAGAGAUUGACAUAUUAUGGUAUUAUCCAAUCAUCAGAAAAAUGUUGAUGACUACUCAAGGAGAAUAAGUUUAGAUUCUCAAAUUAAACAAUUGAGGAGAAGUUAGUGAACUACUACUGAAGCACUGUGUAGCUAGCCUUGUGAAAUACUCAUACUCUCAAGCCACCAUGGGGCCACAUAACCAGGGCUGGUAACUUUUGAAAUUACCUGAAAACGACCCUAAUAAUUUGCAUUUUUGCAACAAACUAAUUAAGAAAGUAGGUUAAAUAACAAUUUUUAUAGGCUUGAAGUAUUAAACAUGCUAAAUGGAUCAUAAAUAUGUAAGUAGGUCAUAACUUAUUUGGUCAAAACAUAAGUUAGUGGGUUAUGUAGAUCAACUUCGACAUAUUUGACCUAAUCCAAUUCAGCAUACCAUACUUAUUAAAUGGGUUCUAGAAGUCAUGUCAGGUCACCUAUAUAAUAAAUGGAUCAUUUGAUCUUAUUGGAGGAUUCUAUCCCAACUCUAACAUGAUUAUUGAAACGAUUGCAUUUAGGUUGAGCAGAUUUUUAGACAAUCUUACUUGAGACGACCCAUUGCCUCACCUAGAUAUAACCCAGCCUAGCAAAAGGGUAUAAGUACCUCUUUGAUUAUUUACAUGUGAAUUGAUCAUGAUUGCUUUACAAUUGAAGCAUUACAGGUCUGAUCUCCUUUUGGGAAUCAAAAUCCUAUUACACAGACACUCGAACUACCCUUUCAACAAAUUGUAACUACAUGAUCAAAGACAUGCCUCUUGCUAACAAUUCUUUGGGCAACAACGCUGAUAAAAUCUGACUACCUCCAUCCCAUAGUAUGAUAUAACCAUACUAUUAAUACCAUUUUAUCUAGUUACAUAUUUAAUUAUAUUAACAUAGAUAAAAUGUUGAGAAAUUUCCCAUGAAUCUGCAGGUUUUAAUAUAAACCUAAAACAAGUAGCAGACAAGUUUAGUACUGUAAAACAUUCCAAACUAAUAGGACAAACUGGUAAAGAAAUAUCAUUAAGCUAAUUAGGAAAAGCACAUACCUUUAUCAAUUCAUUUAGACACUUGGUAGCCCUCUCUACUUCCUCAUCAUAUUUCAGUCUCCACUCUGCAGAUUCAUCCAUUGCUUCCCUAUUAGCAAGAUCAAACUGUCUUCUGCAAGUGUGAGUAAACAGAAAAAUUAUUUCGUCGAAAUUAAAAAUUAUUCCCAUUGGAACUUGAACCACGAAUCUCCCACAAGCCCUCCCUAACCCUUUACCACUUGAGCCAAACAACAAAGUACAUAAUAUUGCAAAAAAAAUGAUUUUAUUCCUCAUAGGCAAAGCUAUGAGGAAGGUAUUCAAGCUGAGGCAGAGACUCAAAUCCUAUUCUGGAGUAUAUCCUCCCCAACCCUCAUCAAGAGACCUUCUAAACUAGCAAACAUUUCCAAAAGUGCACAGACAGAGACCAUUAGCUAUGAAAAGACCUCAUCCAGCAUAAGAUAGAGACUGCAUUGUUUCUAUCAUACUUUCUCAUAUAAGAGACUCCAUUUGACUAGACCAUGUUUCCAUUAACACUCUGAGAAUUACAGGAAAACCCAAUUACAAUGGGAACCUUGUGUUUCCUUUCAAAUGUACAGUUUAAUACCAAAUUACAUGGGAACCUACGUUAUUUCCAACAUCAUAAUAUAAACUUGUAUUGUGUGUGUGUGAAAAUUUUAUUUCCAACAUCAUUCAUUUUGAACAAACUUUAACUCACCGAACACCAAAAGGGUGGGAGAAAGAAACUGAAAAACAUCACACCUCCUCUUGGAAAUAAAAGUCAUGCAAUGUAUAGUAAGGCCGUACACAUAUGACAUAUCUUUUUCAAUCUAGUAUAGGCAUAUUCCUAGAUACAUGGUGAAGGAACCCAUUCUAGAACUGAAAUCAGUACUCAUUUCAAGCAUUUCCUUUCACACGGUAAUGAUUUUGAAAUAUGAGGAGUUCUGUAAGAUAACAUGGAAAAGCAAUCCAUGAUCUCUAUAAUGAUUCAUACGAUUCUUCAAAGAAUCAAAAACUGUAAGAGACAGCAUUAAAAACCUGAAUCAAUAAAUCUCCCAUUUCUAAAAACCUGAAUCAAAAACUGGAAAAACACAAUCAUUUCUUUUCUCAUAAAUCUCACUUGUUGUAAAAUAAAAUAAAAUAAAAUAUUGAAAAUCAUGACCAGUACUUAAUCAAUAAAGUCCCAUCUCGUCAAAAAAAAAAAAAAAAGAGAAUCGAAUCUACACUUUAUCUGUCCUGGGUUUCGGAAGAUUGACUCAGCUCAGCUAAACCAAAUAGCAUAGCUUGAAUGGACUUCCCUAUUCUCUUUUAUUCUUCUAAAAGAUUUUCUCAUCAACCAAACAGAUCAAAAGGGGCUUUUCCUUUUACUGAAAAAUAAAAUAGCCCUAGAAUUGAAAAAAAGAGAGAAAAUUGAAACAAACCUCAAAAUCUCGGUUUCAUCGGAAGAAAUGGUAUAAUCAAUGGUCCAGAGCCUGAAGUAGAUGGCGCAACCCAAUACCAUAACCAACACCAAACCAACCAGAAUAGGGCUUCUUCCCCCCAUUUUCUCUCUCUACCUUCUCUUUCUCUAGAUCAACACCGACAUCGCAGCCGGCUACCAUUUGGAACACAUCCAAACAGACCUUUCUCCGGGUUCAAAUCCAGUGCAUCGCUGCCCUUUCCAACUUAUUACACCUUCCUUCCCUUGCUUUUGGGAUUUUUCUCAAUUUAUCCCCUAAACCCUUUUUUUUU
rnacentral:lncRNA from 1 species